AACUCGAGGCAAGGAACCCAUUUGGAGCGGAUGAGAUACUCGAUCUGCUUCAGGAGGGACUCCACGGUGAGAGGUGGCAGGUAGGAAAGGGUCUCGAACUUCUUGAUGCCCUCAAUUGGCCACACCUGCAAUUAGAUUAAAAUUAGCACACAAAGUGUGAUUUGAGACACAUAUCGAUGGAGUAUUUCACUUCACACAUAUCGGUAUGAUGAUAUACAUACCUGCAUGCUCGUGAUCCUGCCACCGUUGGAGACGCUGCCGAGGCCAGCGCCGGCAGAGCGGCGGCUGACGGGGAGCCCGGCGGUGGACUUGAGGCCCCGGAAAGGAGCAACAGCGGUAGCCGCCGCCGACAUCACUGUCGGACCCAUAGCAUCCACCCUUGUAUCACUAGAGUAUAUCUACUUAGCUAAUAUGCUAAGUUUGGCACGGAGAGAGGAGGUCGAGUGGACUUCAUUCCUGGUCACAAGGGUUUAUAUAUACCAUAUAACAUACGAGCAAUUUGUGAUUAAUUUGUUGUCGUUCUAGGAGAUGUGGAAAGGGUGGAUGCCGUUCGUUGGUUGCCUUAUCCGUUCUAGAGAAGGGAUGGAUGACCGACGCUCGCUCAGCCGUCUCCUUCGUCCAUCGUUGCCAAUCUUUCUAGCUAUAAUUGGAAGUUCCAAAGGAACAUACGGUUUCAUGCCUACUUCCAUCGGCCUAUCAUGUACCAAUCCAAUAAAAGGACAUCGUUCAACCAUCAAUCCAUGUGUGUGUAGUAAGUGAUUGGCUACGAACCUUCAGCUGACUUGCUUUAUUGGAUAUUUCUGUAAAGCGAGUCCACGGUGUGUGGGUUUAAAAUCUCGUGGCGGCAACUGUUGACGGGUGCAAAUAUCAGUAGCCUUAAAACAAUAAACUUUACUCCGUCCCUUCCGAAAUGCAAGAAUGUCCUAAGUCAAACUUCUUAUGCUGCAGGACCAUAGUUUUUGAGGUGUUCUUCUCACGAGUCCACGAAGAACGGGAAUUUUUUGGUGUCGGGUAAGGGCGGGGGAAUAUAUAGAUGCUAGCAUCAGCAUGACGGGCUAACGGGUCAGGUAGGAUUUUGGACGACGUAGCACCUGACAUGUGGGGGCCACAUGUAAGAAAACCUGUCAAAAUGUCAUAACCCUCUGUUUUGGUCAACUUGAUACAAUCUGAUACAAAACGUGUGGUUUUCCUGACAAAUUAGCAAAUUUUGUGUCUCUGUGAGAAGCACGCCCCAAAAACUGUGGUUCCGUGAAAUUUAUUCACUAGUUACACUUUAUCUACAAACAUCUACGAUUCUAAAAUAGUUUGGUAUAUAUUUUCCGUAAUAUAAUUAUUUGAUAUUCUAAAUUCGGGGAUUUGUUCUUAUAAACUUGGUCGAAGUUUAAAAAGUUUGACUUCGGACAAAGUUACGACUUUUUACAUUUAGGAAUGAAGGGAAUACAUUUUAGUAAAGCAAUUGAGGAAUUGACAGAAUUAAAUAUCUUAAAUUAUACUGGUCCAUCGUGUACUCAUGGCAACAAAAUAAAUUUAUAGUCGAAAAGUUGGACCAUGAAAACUUAAAACGUGAUACAUUAAAAUUGUUGAAUCACUCUACAUCUUGUAAUUUUCUCUUGCAACCUUCUGGCGCGCUACUCAUUCCACAUUUGGUACUAUAUGUAUAAAUGUAUAUAUAUACCGCAUUAGGAGCCUCUAUUACUGUUUUAGUAUAAAUAGCAGUUUCCAUCGACUAUGCACUUCAUUAACUUUUUCUUCACGAGAUAACUUGCUUAUCGAUUUUCUUUAAUUAUCCAGAUGGCUUCUACUAGUUUGUUUCCUUGCUUACUGGGAUUUCCGCAGACUUUACGGUUAGGUAUUAUUGUCGUGUGGACAACACGGUGGCCGGAUGUUGAGAUGAUGAUGUCCUUUAUCUCCGUGUUGCUUCUGAGGACUGCGGAUCCGAGGCUAGUGGCGGUAUGGGAUGCCUCUCUACCUCUUGAUCAGGUCAAUCCGGCUCAGCAAGAGGCGGAUCGAUGGUGGCCGGUGUGACUAGAAGCGGGGAGGUAUAUAUGAAACGUUUCUUGCUUCCAGCAUCUCUUCUAGCGGUAUAUAUGUCGUCAGCUGGUUGAGGGAUUGAUGGCAAUCGAUCAUGGCUACGAUGACAUGUAUACGCGCCGGUAGGAACACAUAUCAGGCAAUGUCGAUGCACCUGCAUUGGGCCCUUGCUGAAGGUGGUGGUGCGUAUGGCAGUCUAAAGAUUUAAGACACAAAUUUAGACUUAAAACUUAAAUAAUCAAUUUGUGCCAGCGGGAAACACACAAACACGUACCGGUAAAUUAUCAUAAUCAGAAUUUGUCGACGAAUUUGAUAUUCUUUUACAAAAUAUACUUAUCUUAAUAUGUAUAACCGGAGUUUAUAUUACAUGCCCCUCUCCCAACGAUAGUUGUAGUACUCUUAUAAUAGUAGUACUCAUGAAUACAGUUAAUCCGGGUUGUUGGGAGAGAUCACAUGCAUAAAUACAACAUGAAACAAACGUGUGAAAAAGGUACAUAAAAUCGGUGUGACCCGUUCUUGUAUUAUAAGAAAUCAACUUGCUUAGGCCUUGCCGGACUCCUCACAACCCGGUGGCUUGAAGGCGAUGAAGCUGAUGCACUGCACUUGCCUGGUGUUGUCGAAGCCGAUGAUGCGGACAUAGGCGUCAGGGUACUCCUUCUUCACCUCCUCCAGCUCCUUUAGCACCUGCGUGGCGUCGGUGCACCCGAACAUGGGAAGCUUCCACAUUGUCCAGUACCUGCCGUCGUAGUACCCGGGAGAGUUGCCGUGCUCACGGAAGACGAAACCGACCUUGCUGAACUCGAGGCAAGGAACCCACUUGGAGCGGAUGAGAUACUCGAUCUGCUUCAAGAGGGACUCCACGGUGAGAGGCGGCAGGUAGGAAAGGGUUUCGAACUUCUUGAUGCCCUCAAUUGGCCACACCUACAAUUAGAUUAAUAAUUAGCACCGAAAGUAUAAUUUGAGACACAUAUCAGUAUUUCACUUCAACAUAUGUACAUGAUGACAUACAUACCUGCAUGCACCUGAUCCUUCCACCGUUGGAGACGCUGCCGAGACCAGCGCUGGCUGAGCGGCGGCCGAUGGGGAGCCCGGCGGUGGACUUGAGGCCCUGGAAAGGAGCAACGGCAGUAGCCGCUGACGACAUCACUGUGGGAGCCAUCGUACACGUACGUAGAUAGCUAACAAGAGGAGGCAGGCUUGCUUGAGUGCUCUCUAGCUACAGCGGCUUAUAUAACUGUAGGCUCCCCACCCAUCCAAUAUCAGCACAAGAUCUAGGAGGGGUGGCUGCAGUUCGCCGCGCGGAUUUGCCCAGGCCACGCUGGCAUCCUACGGAUCAGGUCGGGCGCCACAUGGCCGCACGAAAUGGCGCGCGUUAUCCUCUGGACGGAUACAAUUGGCUGCAACGCACUCUGCAAAUCAUGCCAUGAAGUGACCAAUUUUCACCUAUCAGGAUAGAUCCAAUGUGCCACGGCAUGCACUCAAAAACAGAACUUGCUAAUCCCUCCAAUCCAUAAAAAAUCUCGCCCACUUAUUAGAAAAUUUGUAAUGAGUUAAUGCAAAAUGAGCAGCACUUUUUAUGAACUAGAGGAACAACAAAUUAAGAGAAACUCUUCUAAGAUCUUAUCGAGAACGAAGCUUGCCCCCGCGUCGCUCAGUCUGGGGCGACACGGGCGGCAACCACACCAGCCCCGGCAGCAGCCUCUCCCCGUCCUCUCCUCCCCCUCGCCGCCGCCGGGCAAAGCCCGCACGGGGACGGCGGCGGCGGGGCUGUUUUUCUUGGCGGGGGUGUCCUAGAGCUCUUGGCUGAGGCGUUUGAGGUGCUGCCUCAUCGUGGUCGCGGCGUCUCCGGCCCGAUCCGGCAGGCUAUGCCUCGUCUUCGGCUAGAUCCGGCCGGCUUCCUCCCGGAUCCGGUGUUUCCCCUCGUUCUUCCUCUCCCUGGUGCUCGGUCUGCUCGUGGCUGCGCGGCUUCACGGCGGCGCUCUUCGGCCGGAUCUAGCUACUCGUUGGCCAGAUCCGUCAUCUCCUCCGGCUGAUCCGGCAUGUCCCAGGUCUCUUCGUUUCCAUCAUUUUUCCUCUCAGUUUGGUGAGGCGGCUGAUUGAACUUCACCGGCGGCAGAUGGGCUGCUGCUGCGGCCAUACAUGGUCCAAGUCGGUCCUUUUCGAUGCCAUGGUGGCGUGGUUUUCAUUUUCGGUCGCGUCUUCGGCUGCUGCCCGUGUGCGAGGUAUGGACGUCGGCUCCGGUGUUUGGAGUGUUGCUCUGGAUGAAAACUGCCCGUGUGCGAGGUAUGCCGAAGACAACGAUGUUGUAGCGCCGUUUUCCUUCUUGGAGGUGUCGUCGAAGAGCUUCACUUUCCCUCACUUUGAUGUUUGGUGUCUUCGGGUGAAAACCUAAGAUUUGGCUAUGGCCAGAUCGGGCGACAACGGCGUUUUUACGUCGAUUUCCUCCUUGGGGGCGUUGUCAUGGAGACAACGACUCUUGGUGGCAUCGGGUGGUGUGGUCCGUCUAUGGUGGAGCUUGUUGUCUCGAGUUGUUGAAGGUUUGGUGGUGUCUCUUCUUGUGUCAUGUGUUAGCUUAGGCUGUCGGUUUGUGUCCGGCGAGAACGUGCGUUUCUUAUCCUUUGGUGCGGUUUCGGCAUGUGAUGCCUUUCGUCUUCACUAUCGUCACGUAGGUGUCGUGUUGUAUUCUCGGUGGUGUGUGGUCUUUCGGCUUAGCCAACGGCAAGUGGAGGUAUGAUCUCGGUUGUGUAUUGCCCUUCGACUUCAUCGGCGGCACAUCGGCGUCGCGGUGGGUCUCAGUGACGCGCAGCCCUUCGACUCUGCCGGCUACGUAGGUGUCAUGGUGCGGCCUUGACCCUGUGCUUCCCUUCAGCUACGGCGACGACAUAGUGUCUGGGUGGGCUCGUCAGAUCGACGCCUUUCGACUACAUCAACUAUGCUCUUCAUUGUGCAUUUAUUUUGCCAUUGACAUGUUUCAAGAGUCUAGGUUUUUUCCUUGUGUUUCUUUUAGCAAAUGCUGUUCUGCAGGCUGGCUUUUGCCCACCCGAUCAGAAAAGAAAAACAAAUUAAAGGCUAAAAUCAAGCGAUGUUAUAUUCCCUUAGCUAUUACAAAUAUGGAUGAUAAGAGUUAUUUAUCCUUUUUCAACGAGUAACCCUUUACUUGGAAGUUCCAUGUGCAUGGCGCUGCAAGAAAACAAACAUCAUAAUGGGGCAAGACUUUUUUUUUUAUAAACAUCCAAUUUGGGUUAAAGUCUGAAAGAAUUUGGCUAUCUGAACUUUCAGUUUCCACAUUCUUUUACCUACUCAAUUCUUCAGCCAACAGGAUCAAUGGCGACCUACUAACACCAACCAGAACACAUGGGUCACAAACACGAAAAAGGGCUAGAAGGCUACUUAUACACACUCAUGUGUACUGCGAGCAAAAGAACAUAAUGUACAAAACUUUACAAAAUCUAGGGAAUUAAGACCUUCCCGUAUGCUGUUGCUGCCGCUGCUGCUUCAUGCUGGCUCUCCUGGCAACAUCCCAUGGUUUGUGAGGCACACCUACACCUUGCUGGGAUGCGAAGAACGACUCGUAUCCCGGGGAGUCGAAAGCAAAACCAGUGUGCUUGGAGUUCUCUCGAGGGAGCAUGGAGAUCGCAUAGCUUCUUGCUUCUUCUGGGCUCAAAUGGCUCCUCUCAGGCAGAUGUAUCAUGCUGUAUUCGUGGGGGUCAUCCUUGUGCAUCUCCUGGAUUACUUGGUAGUCAUAGGGAAAGAGCCAUCUUUGGAGCCUGAGAAAGCACACAGCAUCAAAGACAACAAUUGAUUCAGCUACUUCAGUAUGUACAAUGGAAGGAAUAACAAACGGAUGGCAUUAACAAACAUAUAAUUUUGCAAAAGAGCUGGUAUCUUACGAUAGAUACAGGAAAUCACCAAAGAGAGCGAUGACUGGAGCAAGCAUUAGUGUGAGGUAGAAGAAAAAGGUACUCAUCAGAACAUAAAUCACAAAAUAUACAUUUUCCUGCACAAGGUACACAGCAUUAAGUCAAUGCAUUUGUAGCAAGUAAUCGUCAUCAGCAGUGUAAUAGCUACAUUAUUCACCCACCUGUCGGUCAAAUGAUGUCAUUAUCGCAGAAUAUAUGAAGAUAAACAGAAACCAGGCCGCUAUACUGCCAGCUACGCUGAAAUAAUGCCAUCUCGUGAUAGAAUUGCACGACAUGAGGAGACGUAGAUUAACAGUCACCACAACACAAGUAAAGGCCAUCGUGCUAACAUCCCAUUGACCAAGAAUCUUGCCAGAUGAACCGUGACCAUGCUGACUUGCAGCUGCAGUAAAGUAAUAGAACACUAUUGACUGGUAGAAGGCAAAGAAACCCCACACCGCAAUCACUUUCCACCGGAAGAAUGUGUUCCUAAUUCCUUCUUGGUAAAGUUGUGGGUAUUUUUUUGAUAGAGAUGCACUCACAUCCUGAAAGGGUUCAGUUUAGUGAAUGUAGCAAGGAGCGUCACUCCAGAACAAGAAAAGUAGAACAAAUACAAGCAACCAUACCUUAUCAAACAACCCAACCAUAAUUACAGGUAGUGCCGUGAAAAUGACAUUAUACAGAGACUGGAACCAGUCAUCAUAAAAUCGCUGACCAGAAAAGCCAGUUUGGAAAGUGAACCAGAACUGAGUUAGUGUAAAAGUCAGAUUCUUGUAGAAGAAGUAUGUGAUAACCUGAAACAGAAAGUGUCAAUGUUAAAAAAAUUAAACUACACAGAUUGGCAGCUACAAGCUAAGGGACCAAAGCAUACCUUGCACAAUCUCAAGUAUGACCACCGCCCAUGUACAAGAAGUAAAUCCGUAAGAUAUCGAAACUGAGCAAUGGCAAAAUCACUCGCCAUAACAGCUUGCAUUCCUUCUUGUCCGCUGAUGCCAAUACCAACAUGAGCAGCUUGAAUCAUACUCACAUCAUUAGCACCAUCACCAAUACUGAGAGUUAUCUUACGUGCACCUUUCCUAACUAAACUUGCAACCUACAAAUGUGUCAACAUUACAUGUUUUGGCAUCAUUCGAACCCAACAGGUUAUUAGGAAAUAAAUCCAAAAAUAAGAGACUUUGAGAUUGCUGAUGGGAUGGGUAACAACCAAAUAAGCACAUAUACAAUAAGUUAAUUAAUACUACCUUUGUUUCAAAAUAUUAUACCAAAACGUCUUAUAUUUUGAAACAGAGAUAGUACUUAUAGUACAAGAGUGUACAGGACAUUUAGUUAAGAGGCCAAAACUAGAAUAGCAAAAGCAACCAAUGCACAGUGGUUAAUAAUGAUCUUGUGAAUCAUGCACAAACUAUUUUGUUGUCAAGGUACAAAAUUGGAUCCUUUAAAAUGUAAUAAUAUCAAUAUCCCCCGUUUAUUGCCCAAGCAUCCUGAAAGGCAUGCAGCUGAGAGCUGCAGACCAUACUGCUAAUUAUUUCAUGGGAAAAGGCAAGGCAUGCAUGAUAAGAACGCUAAAAGCGAGAAUUGAUAUUUACCUGUGCCUUUUGCAGUGGAGAAACUCGACAACAUACAACUGAUUGGCAAAUUAAACUCAAACCAAGAAGAUUCACACGCAGAGCUGGGUCUAGAGCGUACAUCAAGCAUCGUCCAUCAAUAAUGAAAGCCAACUUUCGUCCUGGCGUGCUCCUCAAAGAACGGUGGGCUUCCUCAAGGUAACUUCUCAGACUCUGUUUUACCGAGUCUUUGAUAACACGUGCAAUUUCCACAGGGUCUCCCUGAAAAUGACUGGAACAUUAUUCAUGGCAAAGAUAUGUGCAUAAGUUGAUUUACAUCAAUCAGAUACAAAUGCUAAAUUGCUAAUUAUGGUUGAUCAAACUGCAAAACACACGAGAUAUCCAAAAGGCUAUAUAAACAUGAUGGAGAGGCUAAAGCACUGAAACAACAGAAUCAACAUAAAGUAUUUUGUACUAUUAUGCAACUAAGCCUUUUGUCCCAAGCAAGUUGGGGCAGGCUAGAUAUGAAACCCAAACAGAAACUAAAGCAAAGUGCAGGUAACAAAAGAGCAAGAGAGUAAAUCAAGGUUCAGGCACAUGGACUGCUGAUUUCCAUGCAGCCCUAUCAAAAGCAAAAUCUCUAGAUACAUUCCAGUCCUUCAAGUCCCUUUAACUGCCUCCUACCAAAAGCAAAUAUCAUAGUAAUCCACCAACCAAAGUAACAAGGGAACUACUUGUAACUUCUUAGUUCACAAGUACAUACCAGUUGAGCUAUCCAAUUAUUCUAAAUAAUAUGGUUUGAUACCUUUACCAAAGUCUCAACUUGUAUUCAUUUUAAAGCUUAUACAAGAUAUUAUAUGUUAUGGCUUAACAGUCUCCAUGACACAAUAUGGCUUGACUUCACAGUUUAAUUCUAUAGGAUUAUCUUACCCUGUCUUCAGCAUCUCUAAUUGCAUCUGUCUCAGAAGUGAUGAUGAAUUGUUUUGUAUCGUUAUUCACCAGGCUGCACGCUGCAGAGCAAAAACUAAAUAACUUCAGAAGCUUUUCUAUGUCAGGUGAAAGAGAGAGAAAAAGACCGCCCGCCCCCCACCAAUAAUCCAAAACUGAGCUUCUAUUAGACCCCUUAAGAACGAAACAAGCAUGCAAAUUGAUCUAUAUAUAAUUAAAACCUCACCAUAUGCUAUAUUAAUUGCUGUUUCCAUUUUAUCUCCAGUUAGCACCCAAAUUUUUAUGCCAGCUGCAGAAAGAGUUUCAAUGCAGGCUGGAACCCCUUCUUGCAGUUUGUCUUCUAUUGCAGUGCACCCUAUCAAUAUAAGGUCCUUUUCAAUCAACUCAGCCACCUACAGGGGAAGAAACAGAAGGAAAUUAUAUGGCAAUGUCCCAGCAAUAUCUUAAAUCAGAAUAUACAUUAAGUCUAUUACUUCAAAUUCCUUUUUCCUAGAAAUCACAGUGAACUUAGUACAUGAAAGAAUGAAAGGAUAAUGCUUUUCUAAUGGGGAUUUGAAAAAACAUCAUAAAAAUAAUAAUAUAAAGUACUGUAUGUUCUUGUUCUAGAUAAAUUACAAAUAUCUUUUGCUCAUGAUCCUCUUUCCUGACUAAAAAAUAUAUAUUAUUAUGUAAAAUACUAAUGUUCUAUGGCAGUACAAGAUAAUAAAUUAGCACAAAAAACUAUUAAACUGCAAAUGUCAGCUGUUAGGGAUGGAUGACAUGACUCCUGUAGUUUUGGGGGGAGAGAGAGAGGAGACACACUGAACAAAUUACUUCCUUCGUCUCCAAAGAUUGCCAUGCCACAUUCUAUUCGGUCAGUCAACCUUUUACAACUUCAAAAUUAACAAUUAUAAGUGAAUUGAAUUACUACAUGAAAAAUAACAGCACUCAAUUUGCUUGCAUAAUAAUUUGUACGCAAAACUUUUGCUUGUAUAUUAGCAUAGAAAUCAUAGCCAGAGUUUUAUGUUGGGAGAAUAUAAAAUUAAAAAAUGGCCUACAUUUGUCAGGUACAUUCAGUUAAUUGUUUCCAAAACCAAAUUAAUUUUCAUACAUAAAUACCAAACGGAUCAAUAGCAUGCUCAACAGUGCACAUGAGACUCGAGUUCAGUACUGGAUGACAGAAAGUAAAAAAAAUCAGGCAAGCACUAGAAGGUGGAGGGGAAGUAAUCGAAAUUCAAAUCACAGGGACUGUUCAGCCUGUAUACUCAACAGAAGAGGAUGGUACACAUACCUCAUCAAGCUUCUUAUCACGAUCUCGUAAAGAAGAUUUAGCUUGAACAAACUUCUCAUUCCAGCUUUCGUACUGCUCCCUGCUUAGAUCUCGAUAAGCAAGGCAAAGCGUGCGCAAGCCAGCAGAGCCAAAUUGUUCUAGAUGUUCUCUGCUUGUCUUUUUAAUGUCAUGAUUUCCAUCAGCUAACCGUUCAAAAAUGACAUUAUCAGCGCCCUGUUACACAACAUUUGUAUAAGGUUAGUGCAUCAAUCUACAAAGUGAUAGCUACAUAAAGAUUCUUUUUUCUUGUAUUACCUUGCAAUACAGAACAAGUUUUCCAUUUGGGAAACGGCAAACCACAGAUUGGCGCUUUCUUGUACUGUGAGUGCAGUAAAGUGUGAAGUGCAGAACAAUGAUUUCAUCUUGUCAAAUUUAAAUUGAAAACAGAUAAACCAGACCUGUUGAAUUCCAAAACAUUCAGAAUUUCAUAUGCAACAUCUUGUAUACUCCCCAUCCUCUCAACAUGUGAUUCCCGAACCAAGACUGUGGUUGGCGUACGUCUACAAGACAGGCACAAAAUGUCAACCACCGGCAUUGCCAUUCACAAUAAAAAUGCCACAUGAAAUAAUUUGCAACAAAAAUCAUAAGAACUUAGAUGAGUUCAUGUUCACAGCACUUGCUUUAACACUUGUCUUAAUUUACAACGGCAAUUUUUUGUUGAUGGGCUAAUAGUUUAUUUAUGCUUCUUAGUAUGUACAUUCAGUCCUUCAUACAACAAACUAUAUAAGCAAUAACCUGGGUGAGUGACUCUUUUAUGCACAUUUUCCUUGGGACCAUAGCAUAGUUUUUUAAGAUACCUUGUUUGCAACAAACUGAUAAGAGGAAUCUAUAACUGUAUUUAAAGGCAAGGUAAGACAUGCCUAUAAAAGAAGAAACCAAAAUUCUUCGCAGCAGCGACAAGCGCGGCCUCGUCGGGAGAGGCAGCUUGAUAAGUAAUCUUUUCCGGUGUCUCCUCACCCUCAGGAAGAACUGUAUGACAGAUUGCAAGGCAUCUGCAGAAUUGCUAUAGAGCAAAUAACAAAGUUGUUACACAACUAGCACAUUAACAAGGGAAAAUGUGAAAAAGGAAAAUAGGUUCCAAAUUUUAUUAGUAAGGGCAUAUAUCGUGAUAUGUGAAUAAUUUGUGUCAACUAAAUCAAAACUGAUUAUGACCAAAGGGGAACCAAUCGAACUAUUCCACAGGUAGUCCCGUAUUUACCACGCAAGCAUCAGGAUUAGGUUCAUUUCUCCAUGCACCACGCAUUAUUCUAGCAUCAUCAAAGUUGAAUCCUUUCUCAUGAACUGCAGUGGCUGAUCUUUUACCCUAAAAAAGGCAAGUAAACUGGAUAUUAAAUCAGUUGUGCAUUAAAUUUUUCAUCAUAUACCACCACACUUCAAUAGCGUAAACAACAAAGAAAAUGUUGUAGACCUCAUCAUCAUCAAUCUUGACUCCGGCUCGCUCGGCUCCUCCUUUUUCAAUCUCUGUGAUGCCAGUUCCAUAUAUUUCCCCUCCAAUCGAACAUUUAAAGAAUUCCAUCAAGUUUCUUGUAAGUGUUCCAGUUUUGUCAGAAAAUAUAUACUCAACCUGAACCAUUAGUGGGGCAAAAAAAAUUUGGCAGAAAUGUCAAAUUAUUUGCAAGUGUUAAGUGCAUUUUAGUACCACUCGGCAUUUGUUCAGUCAUAUAAGCAUUUCUGGGGAUCUAGAACAGUUUUUCGGUGGGAGUAAGUCACUUAAUAUUAGUGAAAUGAGACUGUUCCCCAAGUGCUUAUAAUUGAUCCCACUUUCUGGAAUGAGUCGGUGCAGUGAGGUCAUUCUAUCCAUUAACCAAACCCAGCCAUAUAGGUCAAAUAAGUAAAUAACCCCAUUUCAGCAACAAACAAAGGGGCUUUCAUCAAACUAAACAGAAUGCUAAGGAACAAAAAAAAAACUGAUAUUACCUGCCCAAGCUCCUCAUUCAGAUUAGAAGUCCGAGCCAAAGCUGGGGUGUUGCUCUCGGCAUGAUACAUAUUCAGAUCAUUGUUAAUAAACUUUGCACACUGAAUGAAUUUGAUCAUCUGCCAGCCAAAAUAAACAUAAGGUCCAAUCCAAAUACAGGGUACACUAAAUGAUAAAUUGGUCAAUAUACCUCAAUGGAUACAUAAAGAGAAAUGGGGAUGAUCGUUGAGUAUAGAGUUAUUAGAGUAAACAUAGUUAAAAUGGUCACCUGCAAAAGUACAAACCUAUGAUAUAAGGCCACUUAGAGAAUAUUCUCUACAAUAAAUUAACUAAAAUAAUAUAUACCACAAAUCUGUUCUUGGGAUUAAACUGGUCCUCGACACGCCCACGCAAUCCAAGAUAGAAGUAUUUCUCAUUAAUAAACACGCCACUGUUCACAAAAGCCAAGUAUGAUGAGUCCAUUGGUAGAGUUUUAGGUUUCUAAAGAACGUGCAAGCUAAGCAGUCAUAGUUACCAAAAUCUAUAUGCUGAACAGAGCACUUCCAUUUCUGACCAUCUAGAAAGUGCCCUAUUAUGUACCUCCCACAUAAAACCACUAAGAAAAAAGAUAAGGCUAUUAAGACCUAGUCAUGUGCUCAUCUAUACUGCUCCUAUGCCACAAUAAAAAAAUAACUUCCCCAAACAAGCUCCUGACAACUCAUGUCAUAAUGUUUAAAGUUUAUCUCUCUAUUAACAGUUGUUUUUUCAUGAUCAAUUAAAUUGUGAAAAAUGAUUGUGCAAGCAUAAGCCUCCACAACAUCAACCUAACCGAUAUAACUCAUGUUCAGAGAAUAUACAUGUAAACAAUAAUACAAGAUAGAUAAGUCAAAUAAAUGAAGUGGGCCAAAUAAAACACUGACCUUCCAAUAGCACCAAUGACACACAUCGUAAAGAGGGUUGCAAAUAGAGCAAGAAUAAGCUUGUCUAGUUUCUUCUCCAAUGUACUUCUUUUAGAGGGAACAUUCAUAGAAUUCAUCAUAACCUGCAAUAGUGUCCCACUGCAGUAAAUCUCAAAACUAGAAGCACAUCUAACCUACAAGUUGAAUAUAUAGGGACACAAAAUUGCACAUACUUUCGUCUCAUGGCCCGUGAAUAUAACAGCCGCGACAAUGUACUCUGUAUUACGAAGGCUGCAUCCCUGUGGCAAAGUGGUAAUAAGAGGUUGCAUGUGUGCCACAUAAAGAGAGAGAAUUAAGUGUCAUGCAAGACACCGUUCAGUCUGGUGAAAGUAAACAUUUCUUUUGCACUUUACAAACAUUGCUUCAACCCUUCACCACUUAUCCUACAUAUGGGACUAGAGAAGAAAUGGAAGUUGUUUAUAUGAAUGUUAAACAUUUCCAAAUUGUUUAUAUCAUAGCUAUCCUUGUUUGCAAACCAAUAAGAACAAUAUUAUUAUAGAGGUGUUUUAUGAUGAAAAUUUCUGCUGGUGACAUUUGGGUGUCGUCAAUAUUGGUAUUUGGAGGAGAUGUUGGUGAUCAAAGUUAAAGGCCGAGUAAAGGCAUCACGCUAUGAUGUUAUUUUUUACCUGAGGGAUUUUCUUAACAAACUCAUGCUAAAUCUAGAACAUGCAAACAACUUUGCAGGUGGACAAUCUUGUAAAGAAAUUUCAAGGGCAUGUUUGUGUGAGGGGUAUUACUUUGGUACGUGUUGGUAACUACAUACCUAAUUGUUACAAGAAAAAUCUCAUCCAAACAAGCCCUAAGGACAUUAUGGACCUUGCUACUGCAAAGUUGGUAAGUCGAAAAUACGACAGGAUGUCUGAUUGAUAUGUAGGACCUGGACCCACAUGUCAUUCUCACAGCGAGUCGCACUAUUUCAAAUGUCAACUUUGUGGUGGCAUGGUUUCAAUUUUCCCAAUAAGAAACUAGAUACAAAUAGCAUAGAUGAACAGCACUUACCCUUAGUAGUAUUUGAUUUGGUGAAAUUGGUAUAGUUUGCUUGUCCACAAUAAGGUUCCCGGUAAAUGUAUAAAGUGAAUUGUUUGGCUGUUCGCAUUGUAUUUCACCUGUAAGCCAUGAAACAUACAGAUAAUGUGAAGUUAAGAAAAUGUAGAAUAGUUAAGUGAAGUUCAGAAAAGGAGCAAUGCUUCCUACACCAACUACCGAAAAAUGUCUGCAACAUGGAACAAGAAUAGAUAAAAACCUUUGAAUUCAGAAGCCUUUUCAGGAAUUACGCAGUCCCAGGUUUUCUCCAAAGCCUUCCUUAUUUUCAGGUUAGUUUCCCCAUCAAGAUUUGCUGUCUAAGGUAAAUAGAAGUAUGAUACACUUCAAUUAAAACAGAGUUUCUCUAAAUCAUUCAAUAAUUUCAAUUUGGACAAAAGAUGGAGAAGGUAAGAAUGAAUAUAUUGACCUCUAUGUAGCAGACACCAUCAGGGUUCGUACUUGAUAGGAAGAGCAAGUCAGAAGGAAAGUAAGUGUCUUGCUUGAUCUGCUCUAAAGAAGUGCCAUCACUAUUAGUCUUUUUGGAUAUGUGUAUCGAGCUGAAGAUUAAAUUUGCACAGCACAAAAGAUCAAGUGCAUUAAUUUGUGGAAGCAACAGAUCAAUUGAAUUGAUCAUCAAAUUGCUAUCAGGAAAGAUGAAGACAUUACCCUCACAAUAUCUCCAACCUGCAGUCUUUUCCAAGGGGCACUUUCCCAUUUUUGACCUUGCAAUACAUCGACGUGCGCAUUAUUAAUUGACAUGUCAUUCUGGAAACGUUUCUGUAUAAUGGGAGGCAAACAAAAAGGGAAGAAUAUCAGAUAACAUUAAGAAUAGCAAUAAAAUAGUGGAGCAACAGAGCAUGAGAGCAAUACUAACCCAGUCCUCAAAAGCUUCCUUGAUGAGUGAAACCAAAAGCACUAAACUAAGUGGAACCACAUUGGUGACAGGGUGGACUGGACUGCGAAGAUACAAGCAUGUAUGAACUAAGAUUUCUAGAAGUAAAGGUGAAGGAAAGCAAAGGAUGACUGAAUCAACUGAUGGACUUGAUAUGCUAAGAAGUGUCUAGCUGUAACAUGAGAAUUCCAUAGGGUGCAUGCAUGAGAGAGAGAGAGAGACCUAAUUGGUGUAGUCGACAAGAUUGAAAUCAUAAGAAAGUAAAGAUUUGCCACCCGUCUGAACUGUCAAAGCAAAAAAAAAAACAAAUGAAUUACAAAAGGUUCCUAUGGUCAAAUUGCGAUAAUACAGAAAGGGAACAUCUAAAUCGGUGUUACAGCUACCAUUGCAAAGUUUCUUUAUUCGAUAUGGAAAAAUGCAUUACAUGUUUAAUGUAUGAAGCCAUUGAAAUACUUUAAUGUACCUUACGUAAAAAACAGUGGAUAAUGAAAUUGCCAGAAUUAUGGUAUCGCAUAAAAUGAAGGUUACAUUGAGCGAAAAGCAUGAUCAGGGCUUUACCAAAUAACAAAAUCAUACUUCUCCUUUUCUCAAUAUAUGGCAUUUUAGGUUUCAUUGAAGACAAGUCUUUGAAAAGGAUUUACUUUGUGUUGUUUUUAAGGCAUGAAAUUUAUAUCACUAGAUUCAUCCUCAAAAGUACUUAAUGUGGAUUCAUAUCAUAUAAAUCACAUAUUAAUGAAGUAAUUCUUGGUCAAAGUCUUGUAUUAACGAAACCUAAUAUGUCCUGUAUUGACAAAAUGAGGGAGUAUAUUAUCUAACAGUGCAUGUAUACAGGCACGAUACUGGUAGCGCGUAUUACAAGCAAGGUAUCUUAAAAACAUUGCAACACAGUGCCAGACCAGGUAAGCAACUAAGCAUCUCAUGUAUCCACUAUUUUAAGGGAAGUUGAUCCAGAGUGAGGAAAUAAACAUUUUUAAGGAGAUAUAUCAAUUUGCAAUGUGAAAAUGAUACGGAGUAGUAUAAUCAUUUCACUGUGAUAACAAAUACUCCCUCCGUUCUAAAUACUUGUCGCUGUUUUAGUGCAAACUAAAACAGCGACAAGUAUUUAGGAACAGAGGGAGUAACUUCCAUUUACCGUUAGACAUGAUACAAAAUAAUAUGUUGAAAAAAAAUCUAGCCAAAAACUAAAAAACAAACAGAAAAUCUGCAUUAAACGAUGACAAACCCAGCAGGUAUGUUGAUUAACAAAAUAUGUAUGAACAAAAAACAACGCAUCAAUACCUGUUCAAACAAUCCUUUAGGUAGAAAUGUCAGCACACUGUACUUUGUAGUCGACACAGAAUUUCCCUGGAAAUGUAGAAUGAGAAUGUUAAAGAACUAAUUCUAGCAGAAAAACAAAGUAGCGCUCUGCAUUAGAAUCGCGAUGGUCUGAUACCCAACAUGAGGGAGAUUCUGAAACUAAACAGAAGAGCUAAUUGCAACUAGAAGCAUGAAAAAAGUAUAGCUUGAUCUUUUUACAACAUCAAGUCUGAAUACAUUCAAGCAUUUACACUAACUUGGAACAAAAUGUGGGUGUCAAAGAAAAUGCAUGAAUACACCUACUUACAAUAAAGCACCAAUUUUGCAGUGAUUGGACAAACUAUGGUUAAAAUACUUAAUAAUAGAGUUCUACGUAUUUGGAGGCAUAAAACGCAUUGCAGUUGGAGCAGUGGCAUUAUCAUGUUAGUCAGUCUAACAUGGCAGUGAAUGACGUGAAUUUUUUGCUAGUUUAGACCUCUGGCCAGCGCAAUUGACAAAAAUGCCCCCCUCUCAAAACUAAUGCCAAAAAUGGUCUGGCAGAAGGCCCGAAAGGCGCCACAUUUCAUUUUUCGCCAUCUGAGCUGCGCAUGCAAACAUUCCGACAACCUGAAAGGCGGAAAGGCCGUUCCGCCUACUGCAUUUGAUGAAUGCACCUGACAAGGGCGGAAGGUGAACUGGGCCCUGCAGAUGGAAGCAAUUUCCACAUUUGUUACAGACCUGGAAUCUUUUUUUUUGUUGGAGUCGACGGACCAUGUAUGUGCGGAUGCAUAGGAAUCGGCAAGCAGCCUAGCUGCUAGUUCACGGGCACGUUUUACAUUUUCUUUCCUCAGGUUUGGCUAGUGCUACCACGUUGAUACUAAUCAACGCUUCUUGUGAAUGGGCUUAGUUGCUUCUACUAGUCGUGCGAGCGUUAAUCUUUUCUCUGUGCGCCUGCAUGUGCGGGCGUGGGAAUCGGGUCAGGUCCCUGCAGACAGCACGCCUGGCUGCACUGGGCCUGCUUCAGCUUCCGCCCCUGAAAAUUCACUUUCGUCCAUUUCAACUGGAAACAAGUAGGCUCCACCUGUCCUGUUGGCGGAAAGUUCAUUCCUCCUACCCAGUGGCCACUGGGUCAGUUGCUGGGCUUUCCACCACGUCAUUUUUCAAAUUAUAUUUCAGAUGGAGCUAUUUUUGCCAAUUCCGUUUGACAAGGGGCUACAAGAGCAAAGAAAUUGAAUGACAUAGCAAGCAAUCAAUUUCCCCUUAUAGGUAAAUAAUAAACAGCUUUGCUUCAGCUUACUGUCAUCAGCUGGUGGCUGACUGCCCUGACCAAACACAAGUUCAGUAAUCUACACAGCAAGCGGCACACAGGUGCAGCUAAGCACAUGGAUGAACAGAAUAUUCCAGCCAUUGAGGCUCAGCUCUCGAAGCUUAAUGCCAGGUGGCAUCUACAUUGUAUUGCAGCCCGUAGCACCCUGAUUGACUAGUAACCCAACAAUGAGACAAGCUCUAAUCCACCCAAUGACCUCACAGUUGGCAAGAAAUGCAGCCCUUAGUGACACGCACCACCCUACAUAACUUUCUCGUGGACUAAUCAGUAUGAAUCAUAUAAACCCUCUGCAAGCUGCAGUGAAAUAAAACUACUACUACUGAACUAGCUAUUGUCCCAGAUGGCCAUCUCCAACCCAACCGCCCAAGCAUGAAACAAGGGGCCAGUUACGAGAUCUAGGCCUACAGACCCCUAGACCUUGAGACAACCGACCUGUUGAUCAUCCGAAUUAGAGGAGGAGGUGCACACCCGUACCUUGUACCCGACCGGCGCGUUGGCUUCGCGGUCGUUGCAGUAGAUGGUGCGCACGGUGGGUGCCUGCGGCUGCGGCUGCCGUCGGAGGCUGCCGCCCCCGCCGCCGAGACGCGCCGUCCUGGACGCCUCAGCGCGGCCGGCCUGAGAGGUCCCCCCCCGCGGCGACUGCUCGCCGCCCAGCCGCGCGGUGGCAACCCGCAUCAUCUCCUUUAUGCGCGAGCUCAUCCUGCCCCCCUCAGCGCCAAACCCAGCGCUGGAGGAGCCGGCGGGAGAUCUGGGGAAACCUCACGGUGGAUCGGAGGGGAGACCUAGUCGGAUUUGCGCGGCUUUCUGGUGGAUUUCAGUGCCUCGCUGAGGAGGGGAUUCGAUUUGGGUCACGCGUUCCCGUAUGUGCGUAUUUUUUCCGUGUAAUUUUUUUGUUUUGCCUUUUUCUUUUCCUUUGGCUCCGGGAGAAGAGAAGACAGGAGGGGAAGGAAAAGCGAAGGUCGCGACUUCGCGAGGAAGAAAAUGAAGGGAUUACUGCAGAUCACACCCUUGAUUAUUUUCGAAUAUGGAAAGCUCCAGUAACUGAAGUUUGAAAUUCCAGCCGCGUUUGUCUUUUCCUUCUUCGAGCAAACAACCGUGUUCUUGACUUGUUCUAUGUUUUUGCUGUCCGGAGGACUACCCGAUUUGCAAGUAAAUAAUGGCAUUAAUUUCAUAUAAGCACUUUAGGACACCACACUUGACAUGGUUUUCUACUGACGACGACUAUAUGGUGGCUUUGAUGUUCCAUGAAUAGAUCUUUUUAGCGGUGUUUCAAGUUCAGGUGUUAUAACAAAGCAUUACUCUUGACCUAUCUUCCCUUGCGACCAUGCUUUUUGAAUCGCCAAGUCGAGUCGAAUCGCCCCCCAACAGACUUGGAGGUUAGUAUGAUUAGUCAGAAACUAGUCUCGACUAAUCAACCCAAGUCGAGCCUAGUGAUCAGUGAGGUUUAGGGAGCUCUAGCAGGGAGCAUUAGAGGAAAGGAGUGAAUUGCAGUAGAGGGGAAGCACGAGGGAACAGUUUUUGUGGUGCUGGAGCUUGAAGAAGAGGUUCAUGGCGGCUAGGAUCUAGGAGUCGAUAAACUUAGAACGCCCGUGUUGAGGCAAACGCGUUGAGGAAGACGACUUCAAAGGUGGUUGGCUCAUUAUCAGGAUAGGUGCGUGCCUGGCAGCCCAUAAAGGCCUAUUAGAAAACCCUAACUCCCCCCUCCCCCCCCCCCCCACACACACAUUGCCUUCUUCUACACCACACACGCACCAAUGGCGGCCAUCUUCUUCCCCUUCCCUGCUGCUCCCCAUGCCUUCUCUCCCUCCCCGAAAAGAAAUAUCUUCCGAAAAUUCUUCUCUUCGAGUCAAGUUGAGGGGCUCGCGGCGUUCCUAGUCACGGCGGCUAGUCGGAGAAGUCGCGGUUCUAGCUGACGAGUCGCGCGACUUGCUCUGCUAGUCGAGUCGCGGCUGCAAGCCGCCAUCAUUGUGCUGGCUCGGCGACUAGUUGGCGAUUCAAAAACCAUGCUUGCGUCUUAUAAUUUUGUUUCCUCUUAGAUUUUUUUCAAUUAUGUAUGGAACUCUUUUAAGCUUGGCUAACAUAUUGGGUCAAUUUGUCUCCCAUUGAAAAAAAAACAAUUUCCUAUAAAAAAUAAAGUAUCCACAAAACAAUAUGCAUAGCGCAGUUGUUUUCAAAGUUGUGGAUGAAACUUUGUGUUGUACAGGCAACCACUUAAUAACUUGUUCGGUUGUAGAAUUCCCCGCAUGUAUUGAAGAGGAUUAAGAGAGAUCUAAGGAAAAUUGAUCUGCAAUUCGAUCAUUCCCUCUUAAUCCCCAUCGGAGUGGAAUCAACCGAACGGGGCUAAUGUGGACCAUAUCACCUUGAGGACUCCAUUCUUCUUUUAUGGCAACGUUGCAUGGACCUUGAUAUGAACGCACGUGCCUGCAAUCUCUAUUAUUUUUUCGUAAAUAGCAACUGUCCUUUCUGUAUCUUGUAAUAUGUUUUCUACAAUUUUAUUUGGGAUAUUUCGUCAAGAACCCAAAUCGAUUACAUUUUCCACUUUGGCGAAUGAGUCAAGAUUCUCCAUGUGUUCCAGCGAGGCAACUGCGAGCUACACAUGUAUGGUGAAACAAGCCUCGCAACUUCGUAAGUAACUCCAAAACUACAUCAGCACGUCUCUUGAACUUUGGAAACACACAGACGUGUUCCACGACCGUGAGGCGACGGAGUUAACGGGGCAGCGUUGCCGGAAAGACAAGAGUACCGUAACAAGGCCCAGACUGGGCUGCAUCGGCGUUCUGCCUCUAUUACAAGCGAGAGAUGUUGAACCGGCCAAGGUUAGGCAAGGCAGUCAGCGGGAGGAUUUUUUUUUUUUUGUUGUUGGUUUUGAAGAGGCGCGGGAGGAGAAGAACUUGCUUGACCAGCCCACAAGAUCGUGAACCGGUAUGACAUUGACAUUUUAUUUAGGGCCAGUAACGUGUAAUUAGAAGUACUAGCUUACAUCUCUUCCUUUUUGAACCGUCAGAUCUGCAACCAUAUCAUCUCUCCCCUUUGUCCUCUUCGCUAUGCCGAUUUUAGUGAAACGCCGCUGCCAAAUCUUCACAGGAUUGUGAACCGGCAGCAGCUUCGACCCUUCAAUAUUAUUAUUACAGCUAAAUAAAAGACUGAAAUUAUAGGUGAGGUCCUUUGUUCUAAUCGCCCAAGCGAGCAGAAGCCAAGAGAUUACGUGCAAGCAUAGCAUGGCCAUGUUCGCCAACUCAUGACAUAGUGGCACAGGGACUAACCACCUGGAUUACAUGGCUAGCUUCCAUAUAUGUGCAACAAAAUAUUGGUACCAGGCAGCCAUCUGUGCCACCAACCAUAAACUCCCUGAUCCCAAAAAAUACAAAAUACCAAGAGUUUCCACCCACAUCAGUACAAGUGCACAACAGUUUAAGAGACAAGCCAAGGAUCAUUCCCAGUUUGUGGGAAUAAAUAAGAGUCCGCAGCAAACAGAAAACUCAAAAUCGCUGGCAAAGUUAGGAUGUGGAAAAAAGAAAGGCUUAAAAUGAUCUAGCCAUGGCGUCAGAAUCUAUUAUCAAUGUUUCUCUCUCAAGGAUUUCCCUUCUAUAUAAAGUAUAAUAUUACAAAGGGGCUGCUUAAAUAUCAUGGACUCCUGGAAUGUAAAGAGGGUAAUAAUCAACACUACAUGAGCCUCCUUUUUCCUGAGGCUGCUUCCUAAGACUGACUGACUGCUUCCCCGAGGAUCCACAUACACCCUCCCCUCUCCUCAAGUUCCACCUCCCACCAUGGAAGUUAAACCCCCACCAUGGAUCCGAUGCUAACCAACUGUACGCGACCUGGAGAAAGUCAGUCAGCUUGGUGGUUCAAUCAAGACAGAGCAUCACGAUAUUGCCCAAAUGGUAUAAUUGGCAGGAUCAAUAAGUAGUUUAUGCUCGCAGCAAGAUCCAAAAGAACCAAUCUACCAUGACUAAUGUAUGACAAGAAUGAUGUCUUAUGUCUACUUUCAGAUACACUAUGGUCCAGGUGAAACAAUAUUUUAAAGUUUAGUAAUUACUGGCAGUAGUAGACAGACCACAGAAGUGUAAAGAUAUUUGCACACAUGACCUUUUAAUCCAAGGCUAACCCAACCUUGUAAGCUACGUGCUGUUUGUGCUAACGCUGCUGCUUGAAUGCAAUUAGACAGUGGUGAUGUCCUUGUUAGUCUGUUACAUACCUAAGGCAUCACCUCCUGAUUCUAGGUUUGCACCGGAACUCUGCUAAGAGCGCUAUGUGAUCUGAUGACCAUUCAGGUGAAGGAAGAGCAGUGUCUUUUCUUAAGCUCUCCUCAUCCAGAAGUUCCAACAAAGACUCCACGGUCAACGAAUCCGCUGAAACAAUAAAGGAAACAUGAUCAACUGACCAUAAUCAAACAUAUCACAAUACUACAAGCUGAUUCUGAAGCAAUUCCCAGAAGUCUAAAUACAGCAUACAGGUCAGGUACCUACCUGUGUAAAAUAUAUAAUCAACAGUUCCAGUGAAAUCCCUUGUGCAAUUUGUGAAAAGUGGUUCAUUUGUUCCUGGAUCCAUCCUCCUUCGCUGGUGCUCUAAAUCAUAGCCAACACCUACCAUUCUUGCAAAUGAAGAAUAUGCACUGACCUGCAAACAAGUAAACAUUGGUCAGAAUUUUAAAGGAAGAACAAGAUAGACAAGCUUGAUAGUUUUACUGUACCAGAGGAAGCUGGUGCGUCAACUUGCUCACGGGGCGUAAAAUUGAAAGUGGGUCUAUGGCCAGAUCUGGAUGCAAUUGAUCAACUUUGCCCACCGCAAGAAGCCCAUGUGGAGUACUGAAAGACAAAAGGAAGCACUUAGAGAUUUAAAGUUAGAAAAAACAAGUAAACCUGAAAAAUAUUGCUCCAAUAGAAUCUUGACAUGCACCUCCCCGGGAUUGAAUUGAAAUCCCCACAGACCAACAUUGGAAUGUCUGCACUGUUGGCUAUUUUCUCCAAUCCUUUUAGUAGUGUUUGAACCUGCAAAAAACAUACUUACUUUCGAUCUGAAUUUUUCAGAUGUUGCAGAAUGCUAGCCUACAGAGAAUGUGACAAUACUGACCUCCCAUAGUUUCACAUCUUUGAGGUCUUGGUGGACAUUUACAUGUGUAUUGGCCUGAAAUUUGAGAUCAUUUAAAAGAAUGAGACCUCCAUGACUCCAAGUAGCAUAAGCCUAGGCCGUAUGAACAAUGGGAAAUCUGUAGUAAAGUUGGCCUCAAAAUCUAGAGUCUAGAGAGCCAAGUCCCAAUCAUCCGCCAUUAACAUAUAGAUGUUUCCGUGCAUCUUAUGCUACUAAGGUCAUCCUACACAGAUAUAUGUUUCACUUCAUUCCUAAAUGUUGUGAGCAAAGAAGGAAAAGAAUCCAUAUGUUGUUCUGCACUAUGCUGCUAGCAGUUCAAUAGCUAAACAUACGGGAAAGUCCACUUUUGGCCCCUUAACUAUUGCCUCAGAUCAAAAUCAUCUAAUUUGCACCCUCAACUAUCAAAAGCAUCCAAGUUACAUCUGAAGGCAAUAUUUGUUAGAGGCUUUGUGUGAUGUGGCAUCCAUGUCAACGUGUUUUGCCACAUCAAUCGCUGCUGGGCAGUAGGGCCCACAUAUCAUGGCUGCCGUGCCCCUUCUUUCUUUAUAAUUCUUCCUCCUUAGCCAUGCCAUGGCCUCCUCUGUAGGCUAUAGCUUCCACUGCUGCUGCUACAGAUAACCCAUGUUUGACGUUGCAUAACAUCUUCUGAUUUAGAGAGGGGUAUCCUGACAGACAUGUACCAGUCUCCGCAAACCGCUGCACGGCUGCAUCCUGAGGGGAAUGGACAAAGAGAGGAUUAGAGAGGAAGGCUGAGGAGGGAGGCGUUUAGGGCGACUCCAACACGGCCACCCAAAUCGGACACAAAAAGUGUGUCCGUUUGGGUCUGCUGGUGCCCCUAACACGGUCACCCAUUUGGUCCGUUUUAUUAUUUAGUAUUGGCCACGGAUAGGCGGGCCAGGGCAAGGACAAGGGAGGACAAGCGCAGUGUCCACCCGCUGUCCGCCCAGACACAAACCCGGUCAGAUUUGGGUCGGCAAUGGGUUGAGCUGGACAGAAAAGCAGACAGCCGCCACACCGGACGAAAUGGGUCGCCGCGUUGGAGUCACCCUUAAUGCUAAGCUGGGAAAGAGGAAGGGAACAGAAAUAAGAGGAUGAGGACAAGGGAGGGAGAAAAGGGUGCUUCCAAAAAAUCAAUCCCAGGCAUGUGGGGCCUACUGCCCAGUGGAGAAUGAGAUGUCAAAGUUGCUGAUUUGGCGGCUACAUACAGAAUAUCACUCAUGAAACCAGCUUCUGGUCCUAUCGAACGGUUUCAUGAGUUGAUGGUUCAAUUUAGACCAGGCAAAAGUUGAGGGAUCAUAAUUAGGCUUUUCCAAACAUAAAUGAAUGUCAUGCUGUAAAAGUAGUGUUCGUCAUCCAGUAAACUGGUUCGAAUAUCCAACAAGCGCACAACUACUUUAUACACAUCUAAAGAAAGAACAGCUAUUUACAUACCACACAAAGGAGCUGCCUUUUACCAGGAGUUUCAGUUCCUUGGUUGCCAAAUUUUGCUUCUAAAACCGCAAUCAGCGCAAUAUUAUCCUUCAAAGCAAAUAGAACGUGUGAUAAAUAACAUCACUUUUUUUUGCGAAAAGUGAUAAAUAACAUCACUGUAGCAUACAUUAUUUCUUUUGAAGUUAAUCUUACUUUAAUCAGUCGACUUAAAGCCACUCUUUUCUGGGAAGCUGGAAUAAUAGCUUCUGUUAAAGACUGUGCAGCCUUAUUGAACUCAACCUACACAAGCAAGUACAAGUAUUAGAUAGCUGCAAAUAUCAAGCUGCUGCAAACCUGCAGUACAGGUACCUCGUAUUUUUUGACAUGUGAAAAUCUAUCUCUACGGAAGAAAGUAGCACAGCCAUCAAUGGCAUUAGGAACUCCAGCAUACACCUGUGACAACAGUAAAGUAAAAUCAAACAAGAGACAAAAGGUAUUAAACCAAAAUAUGAAGGAAAAAAUCAACCCAAAGAUACCUCUGUUGUCCGUUUCUUGUAAAGCGCCUGAUACCCAUGUUUAUCAAACUCAGGAGCAAAAAAAUCCUCAAAGUGGUUCAAUUGUACCUGAAAACAGUAGGACUUGGCUUAAUUCCCUCCUGUUACAAUCUUCGGUCACUCUUCGUUUUUAUUGUAAGCCGCUUCAGUAAACUCUUCAUAAUAUAUAUGCAGACAAUAUUCGUGAAAGUUUAAACAGCAAGCAAACUAUCAUAAAUUCAUAAUCCAACAUCACUGAAAAGUGAAAACAAUCAAACAAAGUGAUGGCACAAAUAUGGAAACGAACAGCCCAGCAGUAUAUGAAAGAUUGUAGGUUGAUGAACAGGGUUCCGGCAUUAAAGUUUACCGAGUCGCAAAAAUUAUAUGAUCAACCAAAUGAGACAUGCUCGGUUCCUAAAACAAAUAUAUGAGAUGAAAAGCUGAAAAUAGGUCACCAAAAUAAAUAAAUUCAGAAGAUAGCAAACAUAUGAUACCUCCUGAAGACAUAUAAUAUCAGCAUGAUAACCAAUAAUUUCGCGCAUCAAAUUUUGUCUUCUGUAAGUCCAUGAAAGUGCCCACGUUGGGCAGUAGCUAUAUGCAUCAGAUGUAGCAUAUGCAUCAGCAAGAAUAUUAUAGGACAGCACCGUGAAUGUCCCAAAAGAAGAAGUCUGGCUGUCUAUAUCUGAGUGACCCAAAACAUCUCCAUUCACUUGGAUAAGGCGGCGUGGAGUAGGAGUUGGUGCUGGAAUCACACGUGAUGUCAUAAUUGAAGUUGGAGACCCCGCAGGUACUUUCUUUUCCGUAUCCACCGCUGCACAUUCAAAUCUUAGAACAUGCCCAAUAUCAUCAGCAGUUGGUGUAUACGUCUGCGAGCGUCCCACUUCAAACCAUGUUUCACCCGAGUUCUUAUCAGUGCCUGAGGGAUACAAGGGAACAGGUCCAUUAUUAACUCCAGGGCUCUGUCCAAGAUUUGACAUUGAGCCAGACCCAGAACUUAGAAUCCCAGAACUACCGCUGCCAAAUCUACCAAAUAGCUCCUCCUCUUCAGCUCCAUUUUCAUUUAAAGCACUACUAGCUCGCUCAUGCAAAACCCUGUGGUGCUGCCAUGCAUCAGAGAAGCACUUAGCAGAACAAUGGUAGCUCUUAGCAGCAGGUAUUUUUGACUUGAGACAACCUAAGCACUGAAUUGUUGCUUGCUCCAUCGGAUGUACACUGCAGAUAGUAACUUUUCGAUCACUCUGUAUGCGAUACCUUCGAGCGAAAAGUCAAAUCAGUAUAACCAUGUGCUACUAGAUACAGAAAAAGUUUAGAAGAACAUGAUUGAAUAUAGUAACUACAAGAAAGGACACCUAAAUUGCCAAUGUUUUAGCAUGUAUGAGAUCCAGGAAAACUUGCUAUCAGCAUCUUGGAAGUCCAUUAUUCAGAGACAUUAGACUCACAACACUUCCAUUAUAAGCAUAGUAUGAAUAAGGCAAAAUGAAGCAGGUUGCCAAGAUGUCGCAAAAAAAAAGAAGCAAAUUACAAGUUUGCUUGUCAUGAGUUGCUGCUGCUGUUGUUUUUUCUUGAUUUUAGUCCCUCAACCGGCUAACUCGUGAUCAUUCAUCUCUUGCUUUCUUUACCAGAUCAACCAUGCAACUGAUUUCUUUAGCGGACCAGGCAAUAUAUGUAAUAAGCAAAAUUCUACAGUUUAGAUCAGAGAUUCAGAGGACUAUUGCAGGCUCUCAUAUAUCAUCAUUAGGGCAUGACGACCAGACAAGGAAGUUGCUGUGUAUAUUAUUAUUCCUAGAAGAAAAACAUUUAAGUACUGUUCAAGGAGGCGACCAACUAUAGCCCAGUGCCCACCCCAUCAAUCGAUUAGUGUCUUUCAGAACACUUCAUUUCAACAAUGUGUCUAUAAAUGGCCACACUUACUAUACUCAAACCUCAAACCUUAAAAGUGAAUAAAGAUGCACAUAUCACAUGAGAUUCUAUCAAGCUAAUGACUGAAAAGCAACACAAUGAAAAUAUAAAAAACUAUAGAAUUGAAGGACCAAAACCAAUGAAACUGCAUGAGUGUUAGUGGGACCAAGCACCACCAUUUCGAAAAGUUCUAAGGUCUAAAGUCUCAGCAAUAAAUGCUAUUUAAACCUACAUGACAUUAAAAAAACGGAUGUGAUAAAACAAAUAAAUAUUCACGAACAUGAUCAAUCAUUCAGAGCGGGAUUCUAAAAUUGAUCACUGAAAUUGUUCGGCCACCCAGCUAUUAGUGAUUAUACAGCCGAGCUAGCUCAUUGCAGUGGGUGGCAUAACCAGCGGUUACAAGUUCUUUUCUCUCAUAUUUGCCUCUCCAUUUUUCAUUUUUUUAUUUCCAAAUAGAUCUACAAUGUUAUUUGAAUUUUAAAAAUAAUAGGUAGGGCACUCCUUACAUACAUGACCUCCUAGGCCAUUUAAAACAAAUAUGCAUUGUUUGGGGUUUUUUAUAUAACAUAAAGUAAGUUAACUAUGACACACUGCCAAAAUAUUUUUGCAUAAAAAACAUUAAAUUUGAUAUAGCACAGAAAGAACGUGGAUAUCCAGCAAGAGAUUAAAGAAGGCAAAGUGGGGCAGGCAGUCAGCAAAACAAAACUAGUGGAUCACGAGUUUCAAACUUUUACUAGCUUUAAGCAACUGAAAUAACUUGCCACUGAACCUAGUGAGCCAACAACUCUAACGUGUAAUAGCAAACAAGUAAUAAUUCUUUUGAAGCUCCAGAAUAAUCAAAACUGAGUCUAGAAUCAAGCUAGAAUGCCCAUUUGAGUUCACUGGUGAUGUUAGAGUGAUACUUAGUUCAAGGAGUAUAUCCAGAUACCCCAAUCAAAAAAAUCAUCUGAAGCCAUGCGAACAAACUGAUGGCACUUCUAGAAUAGUGUCUUUCCACAAAAUUAGUUAGAUAAGCCUAUGUAAUCCCAAAAUUUAUAAAAUGCUCCCGUUCCAUCCAAGAUGAACGUAAACAUUCCUGCACAACGAUUGGCAACAAUCCUCAACCCAACAGCCUUCAUCACCAUCCUAUGAUGCUAUCUAACACUCAAUAGUUCUAGCAAAACCAAAAUCAGAUGGUCUGUUUUGCUCAAUGAAUUACUUAUUAUCAUUACCAACCCGUGUGGCAGGUUGAUAUGGCAUAGACUAAAUAGUAUGAUUCAUAAACAGGCUUAAAAUAAUGCAAUACUGAGUUCUUUACCAAAUCAAGCAUUGGCAUUUCAUGUUCCCUGGGUUUCCAUUCGUUCCAAAAACAAACAACUGUCUUGCUAGAGAAAAUCAUGCUCAGAAUUCAUAUAGUUGUGCUUCAUUUAUGCAAGAAUCAAGACGAUUCAUGAGUUUAGCAAGUAGUUAAGCAUCUAGCAAACUGAUUGAUACUUAAAGCCCCCAUUUUCUUUUUUUCUUUUUUGUCAAAAUUCACUUGUAGCAACGCACAAGCGGAACUAAGCAUUCGAAAGUGUAUAUCCUAUUGAACCAAAAGUUGCAAUCACGAGCUGCUCACUCACCAUCUGUAUCGCAUGAAGUGGCCAUCAACAGGCGCGGCCUCAGGCACGUCGUCGGUGGAGAUUACACCGUUGGGCAGCCGCAGCAGCACGUACGGGGUGAUUUCGCACCCCACGAUCGGGAUCUCCGACGGCAGGUGCACCCGCACCACGCUCAGCAUCCUCCACUCCUGCUCCCCUCCCCUGCUCUCCUCUGCCCAGCCCAGGGGCGGAUCUAGAUGGUGUGCCGGGUGGGCACCGGCACACCCAAAAUUUGUGGACGCUGCGAGGACGGCGGAAGGCCAGGGCGACGUCGGGAGAGGAGGGGAGCGCCGCCGUCAAGGGGACCGGGAGAGCGAGACAGGGUUAGGGUUGGUUGCCUGAGGGUAUUUUUGGGCAUUUCGAAAAUCUAGAGUUGUGUCCAGCGCAUUUUUUUUCUAAACUAGUAUUGCGUAAGCGGGACGGAGUGGUAAUGUUUGUGCAAGACAAGAGAGAGCCGGAGAGGAUGACAUGUUUUUUUUAACGAUAAUAUUAAAAACUAGUCAAAUGUCCAUGGGACAAACUCAUAUGCGAUACUCACCGCAUUUGUAGUUAUAGAUUAAUACCUUUUCAUAGCAGUUUGCAGAGAUGGAACCAUGAAAGGCGUUGCAGACGUAUAAUUCACUCGCUAAAAAAUCCAUAUUGAGAAAAUAAUUAUGUACUUGAUAGACUCGGUCUCACGAAGUUCUGGUAAGAAGCCGGUUCGGAGGGACAAAGUUCCAGAAAGAUGGCCGCAAUGUCACGCACGACCAGGCGAAUUUGUGAUAGUUUUUUUGUUAUGAAAAAGCAAAGUAUAUGUGAUCGGCAUGCGACCUUGUGGAUUGGGGUUGAAAGUGUUGGACUGCAGUGUAUACCUUCAACCCACCACGUCUUGAUUUAAAGGCCAAAUCAACGUAGGAUUCGGACUCCUUAACUAAAUACGAUUAGGAUUCCCUAUCUAUGUCGGAUUUGGUCUCCUAUUCUGUGAUUGGCAAUUGGGAAUUUAGACAUUAAUCCAUAGCUUCUCCAACUCUUUAGUGAUUGAACGUAACGGUUGGUACAAGCUAGGCUGGGCGCGAUGGGCUGAGGCUGAGGCAAACCAACCAUGGACCUCGUACCGUUUAGAUUGAAAAAAGGACAUGUUUUUUUUUGUUUAUCGAUCAGGACGGACAGGCGCACGCACGAGGGUGAGUUGGAGGUUCAGAUCGGUUGGGCUUAGUGGAAGUUUUAAUGAAAAAGGCCUACGGACGUUCGCCAUCACCACCGAUUGUAAUAUAAUAGACAUUGUAGAUUAGUUAUGAUUUGGACCACCGGGCACCGGAACCCAAGCUGCUCAAUUUUGGCAAAAUUUGCAGAAAGCAAACUCAAACCCGAUGGCUCCUAUGUAGAUGGGAGUGAACUCAGAGUAUUCUCAUCGUGUUGCUACAAAGCUUUUCUUUGAUGAUGUUCCCUCCGUUGUGUUUCCCUUGCGUGCUCAAGGACACAAUGUUGUGAUUGAGGAAAUUGUUGAUGACCCUAGCUCUGCCAUCUUCCGUCCGUAAGUGAGGGCACAAGCAGCGCGUUGCUACUCCAGAAGUAACUUCAGGUCUGUGCCAUAGUUCAUGCUCUACCAUGUUUAGAGGAUUCAAGUCCUAGCUUGUUUCUGAUGUGCAGAAGAAACAGUCCAAGUGUCGAUGUUAUACAUUGUCAGAAUAUGAUUCGGGAUAGCACACGACCAAGGAUUACUACUACUCUUGAUGGCAACAGUCUACGUGUUUAUCAUUUGUUGGAACUCCAAGCACAAAGUGAUGUAACAAAGGGUGUUUUCCCCCACAAGUGUUUUACCCCCAACAAGCACCACAAUGGUUGUCAAUCACAAUGAUCACUAUACAGAAUCACUUAUUUCUGACGCGUUAAAAAACUUCUAGUCUGACGCAAAUGGGACGUGUCACUAAUCAAGUGUCAAAGAUGACUCGGGAACUUCUGACGUGUCAACAAGCGUCAGAAGUAGGAAACCCUAAUGACGCUUCUUGUCGAUUGUUAUUAGAGACAAGUAUCCUCAUGUCGGGUGAAGGCCAUGUUUGUUUGAGCUUCUGCUUCAGCUUUUGGUGGUUCUAGCUCUCUAAAAAGCACUGCUUCCGUUUACACAUGAAGCUGAGAAGCACGUCGUGAGGUGCUUCCCUCCAGAAGCUGCAGGAAGCACCUCCAGACGUGCUUCUCAGCUUCAUGUGUAAACGGGAGAAAUGCUUUUUAGAGGGCUAGAAGCAGCAAAAGCUGAAGAAAAAGAAAAAGCCCAAACAAACAGGGCCGAAGAUGAGUAAGAAGAUAGAGGGGCCUCACGGUGAUAUCUACUCGUGUAAGAUAGAGAACUCGGCGAAAGACAAGGGUUUAUACCGGUUUGACUUGCUCCUUUUCGUGAAAGCAAGCCUACGUCAUGUUGGUAAUCUAAUAUUUGUGUAUGAUAUUACAAGGUGUGUUCUGCCCAUCGAGGGCGCCUAGCCCGCUUUAUAUAGUCAAACAACUAGGGUUUCGGGUAGAGCCGGGUACAACUUUUACAUGGACUGUACCUUCCUAAACUAGUUAGGAUUCUUCCUUUACAAGAUAUCUACAACUAGUAUUUCCUAUUACCUGAACUAGGCUUCCUUCUUCAAUACGACAACUUCCUUGACCGAGUGAUAGGGGAUGUCUGGCUUGUGCGCUGAGUCGACUUUCUCUGUUCAGUCGUCUCUCAGCUACCCGGCUAGAAUAUCCUCGUCAUUAGCCCCGAGUACAAUGUGGAUAGGGGGGAGCUGAAUAAUGCCAUCGUCGUCAAUCUCGAAUCUUUCUCGUUUCAUGUGCUUUUCUUGAGUUGCUUCUUCUUGAUUUUAUUCCGACCUCAAAUCCACAAUGUACUUCUCUAUGACAGCUUGAGGUUCGAGCUCAUGGCUUCUUAUGCAUAAAGUUCAGCUAUAAGAGCAAACCAGCUUCUAUGUGGCAUGUGUUAGCAUUGCAGCGAUAUUAGCUCCUGUUUUGAUUUGUGUUUUUUCCUUAGCUGUAGCGUUGCUUUGAAUUAAUUAGCAACUACGUCGUGCAUGUAAAAAAAAGUGAGUUCCAACAAAUCUCUGACGUGCGCUAGAACAAGAGGUCAGUGAGCAUCAAAAGUAUACUGACGUGGCGACACAAGGAAGAGCUAGGAAAUUCCUCGUGAACAAAGUUGACGCUUCCACAAAGGAAAGAGUCACAUCAGCUAGAAUCUCCUUCGACGCUUACGAAGUAAGGAAGCGUCAGUAGAAAUGAAGAGUCAGAAGUGUGGAAGUUCUCCUACGCUUCUCCGAGGUAGGUGUCAGAAAUAUCUUAUUGACGCUGCCUCGUGGAUGCUACCUAUGACAGUCCUUAUAAGGAGCCGCAGAGAUAAGGAUUUGCGCUGACGCUUUUUAGUUUUGUGUCAGUGGGGAGCUUGCAAGAGUAAAGUCUAUAGUAGUGAGUGUAAGGCUAAACUUUAAAUAAACAAAUAAUAACUUUAAGUAAACUAAUGCAAAACAAUAAUUUAAACUAACUAGAAGAUGCAAUAACUAUAUAAUAAAUACUACUACUUAUUAUGCAACUAAAUAACCAAGAGAGAAUGUUUAAAUGGCUUUUUACAAGAUAUCUAAAAAAAAGCAAUUAAAUAAAUGCAAAAUAAUUGUAACAGAGGUGUUUCUUAUGAUAUUAAAGAGGACCAGGAUACUCUUUGCGGCAUGAAUAUAGCACAUAGGACAAGUUCAUUUACUUUGCAAUGUUUUUAUGAAGUGAAUGAUAAGCAUUCAUAUGGACAUCACGUCCUAAUAUUGAGAAUAUGCAAAAUAUCUCACUAAUGCUCCCUUGGUAAGUGACUCAUCAAACUAGAUUAUUGCUUUAGGUACUUUGACAUGAUGUUGAACUUUAAUGCAACUUUGAGCAAGCAAGACCACCAUUGUUGUCAUUUGGUAGCAUAAUGCGUAUUCAUUUAUCCCUAGCGGGUCAAAUCACUGAAAGGUGAAAAUCAUAGUGGUUCCCAAAAUUUUUGUCACUAUCCGGUUGCCACUACCAAUUGCUCUAUCUAAUACACACAUCCCCACACAUGCACAUGUAAACUAGUAUGAUUAGUACAAGUAAGCAAGAAGGGAUAGACAUAUGCAUCUAUCAAUACAUCAAAACACAAUCCAAACAUUGCAAACUCAUGACUCAUCUCAUAACAAAAGGUUCACCAAUAAAAAAUAUAACGAUGAUCAUAAUCAUGAUAGGAAACUCGUAUGAUUCUAUUACAACCCAUAGCCCAGCGAGGACUACUCCCUCAUCAUAUUGGUGAUGAUAGAGAAUAUGUUCAAGGAGAAGGAGAGGCGACCGAUGGUAUUUUCCCUUCUAAUCUUGGAUCAAUCUGAUGUUGUUUUUUUUCUUUCCGAGUCGUUGUGCUAUGCAAGCGCAAAGCACGGGGUAUUAAUAAAUGGUUUUAGGUCAAGACGAAUCUUCGGGUGAAAGAAUGCACUUGCGGGCGGCCACUCGGGAUAAAAAACAACCAUGGUGAAUUAUGAUAAUCUAGUUUUUUCGACUACUACCUCUGAUCCUAAAUUGUUGUCGUGGUUUUACUUCAAAUUUGUACUAAAACCACGACAAGAAUUAAGGAUCCGAGAGGUAGUUUUUACCUAUUUUUCAAUUCGGCUUACCUAUUAUUUUCUAAUUUUCUUUGUAUGUUUUGACAAAUUCAGCACACUUCAGCAACCCAAACUGAACAUUAGUCCCGUACAGGAUUCCAGAGUGCGUUGUACGCAUGUGUUAGUAUAUUCCUAAGCAAGCAAGAAAAAAAUAAAAAGAAGCAAAUAGUAGCAACUAUCGGUUGAUCCCGGCCCUGGGCCAGGACAAGAAGGGCGACAGCCCGGGCCCGCCCAAUCCAGGGGACCAGAUCAUAUGUGUAUACGCUAGUAGAGAUACAUGUCCAAAUAUUGAUUAGCAUAAAAGAAAGAGGAAAAAAGCUAGAGGCCCAGCAGAUUGCUCCGCUCCUGGCCAACCCAGGACGUAUCAACGUGCUCGAAAAUUCCCCUUGGCACCCGGUAUCCAGGCCUAUGUGUAUCUCAGCCGACCAAUUUUCCAUCCUACGGCUCCAUCCUGCAGCUCCUGUCGUCCGGCCCGUUUAAGUAUACAAUUUGCUAUUCUCCCGUACAGGCGGUAUUUGCACCGGUUGGCCUGACACAUCCUUUUUUAUAUUGCGUUUCCCAGGCUGGCUGGCCCAAGUCCCACCUCGCGCAUUGCUGGGUGAGCACAAGUCCUUUUCUCCCGCUGCAUACCGUGGCACAGGUCUGCCCUUGAGACAUCGCAUUAAAUUUCCAUCAGUCCCAUUUUUUUGGCCCAAGAUUUCUGGGCAGGCACAGGUCCACGCCAUUGGGGGGGCGGUGGCGCGGCUGGCGAGGCCGACGUCGCGGCUGUCGAGGGUGCCUGCCACGGGCGAUGAGUCACCGAGUCAGGCUUCGGUGCCCAGAGCUGAAAAGCGUGCCGCGGUAGACGAUGUUGGGCGCCUUAAUGCCGUGCUCGGACACGAUUCGGUCGGGGACGAAGCUGUCAGUUCCCGCGCAUAGCUCAUCAAGGCUGUACUCUGUGAUCAUCGGCACAGCACUGUCGUCUUCCCCAGUUUCCCCAUUCUCUAUUUCUCUACACAGGGAAAGCAAACAGCAAGGGGAAGAGCAUCCAUCCUGUAAAGCAACGAGCUGCCGGCGAUGGCCUUCUCCACGACCGCGGAGCAACGCAGCGCCGUCCCCGUGCCUUCGCUGGAUGCCCGCUCGCAGCUCCGUGAUGGACCGCUUCCGCACGAGCACCGCCCGCCCGAACGGGUCGUGCGCGUCGGCAAGCGCGAGGGCCGAGGGACACGUUGAGGUGGCCAAAGGCCGGGUCGCUAGGGAAGAACUCCGAGCUGCAGACCGGGGGCGCGGGGCAGGGACGGAUGUUCGGGCAUCGGCCGGACCUCCUCCGUUGGCAGCUUCCGCAGGCGAGGAAAACUUGAGGGGCAACGGCAGAUAUUUGGGAUUUGACGUGGGUAUUGGUGCUCCGAUCUUUCCAUCAGAUUGAUAACUCUCGAUUUGGGUUGAAGAUGACGUUUGACGAUCCGACUACGGUCUAAAAGACAGCGCCUUAGUAAUCAAUACACCAACUACAGAGAGUUAUUGAUCACGCGGGGCACGAUCAACCUGACCACGAAGGUUUUUAUUCCUGCAAGCAAUCGAAAAACAAGCAAGACCAAGAUAAAUAGUGGAUGCAAUCUGAAAUUGCGAAUAUACUAUAUCAAACCAAUGUCUCAAUGAGACGAUAAGUUGGGAUUUCGAAAGUGGUAAAGCAGGUGGUCUAGCCGACAUAGACGAUUACACGAAGUUGUAGCGAUGGCUAACUUUUAACUAAACAAAACCCAAGUCUCCAUAGGGAGGCUAGUGGGGUAUAUAAAAGAGGAGGGAGAGAGAUUUUCGCCCACCUUGAGUAAGGAGGCCGAAAUCCAAAUCUAUUUCUAACUUUUCUAACAAACUAUAACUCUUUAGGAAACAAAAAAACAGAUCCGUCAUCUUGUUUUGUCUGCCACGGCCAGCACGCGUCGAAUCUCCUUGUGGGGUCAAAUCUGUUGGAAAGGUCUUGUAAUUACCUUUCCAACAAGUACUUGUUUGCUUGAUUUGGACUCUGAAUGCGGUCUGGGUGAUUAAAACAAAUUCGGAUCUCCUGACAGCUCGGACCCGAAUCGGAUUCAACUUUAAUUCGUGAUAUCUUUCACUAGCAAGCUCCGAACCAUGUGCCGUUCGAUUUGUUGGAAAGUAGACUUGAUAGGCUUCACCUUGCAUCUCCCGUUGCAUGCUAUCGCACCUCAUCUUCACUUUGGAUUUGAAAAGCUCGACCAAAUAUCUACAUAAUAAAAUGAUACAAGAUAGUAGCUCUGCCUCUUCAUGCAUAUGGCAUUGAAAACAAAUAGUACUUGACUUCACCUGAUUAUAAAAUGUUAUCGAAUACUCUAGAACUGAGGGUGCCAAAGGUUGUAUCUAUGGUUAGCAUGUCCAUAUCAUCUUCCCUUUCUUGAAACAAAAGCCGUCCUCGGUGUCGUUUGUGCUGAAAAGAGACUGACAAAACAGACAAAGUGUGUGCAUGGGUAUAUGUACAUGUCAUCCAUCUUUAUACAUCUCCUUUCUUGCACAAUUAAUGUUUUAUAAAAAAAUCUCAUGAGAUAAGUAGUCAAACAAUCAUCAUGAAUUACAUUCCAGCAAGAAGAUUGACAAUAUGUUUUGCAUAUAUAAGUGAAACAAUAUCUUAUACUAGUAAAAAGCCCGUGCUUUGCUACGGAAGAAGACUUUCUUUUAAAAACAUGCUAUAGGUUAAUUUUCAAAUAGUCGGCUGACUUGGGCUUGCGGGGCUGCGGCUUGGGCUGAAAGGUGGAGAUGGGGUUGGUGGGCCUGAAGGGGGCUCGGGGUUGCUGGGUUGCUGUGGGAUCGAGGCAGCGGGGAGGUUGAAGGCACGGGAGCAAGGGGAGGCAGUGCCGGCGAGGUGGACGAUGGGAGCAGCACGCGAGGGUGCUGGGCUGCCACGGUGACUGGAGCUUGGCGACAACGUUGGCGGAUUGCAGCAGCGAGGGAGAGGAGAAGAGGGCGCAACGAGUAAUGAAGGCAGGAGCGCCAGAGAGAGGAGGCGGCUAGACAGAGGAGAUCGGGAGGGAGAAAGGAGCUCGAGGGGAAAGAUGAAGGAGCAUAGGGGAUAUCGGGGAGGACCGGCUGCCUGGUUGGGUGGACGGGCAGGACAAGAAAAGGGGACGAGAGCGAGAGGGAUAGGGUUCGAGGAAGCCCGCAGAGGUUAGGGCUCGGGGGUCAGACGGAUGUUUUUCGGGACUGGGGAUAUGCAGUGGCAUAUUGAGCGUAAUUUUAAUGGAGUGACGUACCGCGACACCUGUACCAUCACCACCAACUCCAAUUUAAUAUAUUUGUAUAGAUUUAGUUUGCACCGCUCACCAUUAUACCAUCCCAACACUGGAGAAUAAUAAUUAAUGGUACCCAAAUUAGUUACUACAAGAUGCUGAAAUUUAGAGCAAGUCAAAGCAGUAAUAUUCAAACAAUCGUGUAAACAACUAUUUGGCAAAUAAUCAACACCAAUAUUGGAGAUCAUAUCAAAAUAGUUAAGCAUAUGCAAGAAUUUAUUUUCUCCCAAGAUAGUAAAAUUAUCACAAGUAAUACAAAUUUCAUGUACCAAAAAGUUAUUAUUCACAUCAUGUUCUCCAAUUAGUUGAAUAGUGGAUCCAUGAACAUUAGGAAAAGAUUUUGAAAUUGUUAACUUGGACACUUUUUCCAUUGCAUAUGAUAAAUACAUAUGUGUAUCAAGUGUAAUAUAACACAAAGAAUUAAUAGGUGGAUCCUUAUGAAUCACUCCAUGUCUAAUUAACUCGACACAACCUAAGCCAAAUUUAUCUAUCUCACAUGUUUCUCCCAAAGCAUUAGUUCUGUCCUGACAUGAUUCAUGCUCAUCAAUAUCAAAAUUAAUAUGUGCACUAAAAUCAUUAGAAAAAUUAAUUUCAGCACUAGGUGUACUCAAAUCAGCAUGUAAAUCAACAAUUUCACAUGGUGCAGAAAAUUCACCGAGUAUCUCAUUUAUUUCAUCACAUGUCAUAUUUAGUUCAGGAACACAAUCAUCUUUACCAUUACCUUGUGGUCUCGACUCAUUUGUAGUAGACCUUCACUGUAAUUUCCUCUCAACUUCACGAGCAAGAUUAAGCAAACACAAAAAAGAGUCGUAUUUUCCAUAUUCAAUUAUGUAAGAAAUAUCAAAGUUAAGCCCACAAUAAAACCUAUCCAUUUUUGUUUGUUCGGUUUCAUCUAAACCAGAUCGCAAGGUUAGAAUUUGGAACUCCUGAUAGUAAUCAUCAACAGUUUUAUCAUCUUGUUUCAAACGUCGUACUUUUGCACGCAAGUUACAAGCAUAACUAAAAGGGACAUAUUUUUCUCUCAUGAUUUUCUUCAUAUCAACCCAAGUGUGAGGAAUUUUCUUUUCUCUAACUAUCUCACUCCACCAAGAUAAAGCAGCAAAAGUAAAUUUACUACUAGCAAUUUGGAACUUGCGACUAUCAAGUACAUGGAAGCAUGUGAAUUGUUCAGUUAAAGCUAUCUCCCAAUCUAUAUACGUUUCAGCAUCAUUUUCCCCCUUAAAGAAAGGUACACACAAUUUAAUUGUAUUGGAAGGAUUGUUUCGUACCGUUGCCGUCGCAUUGUCAACAAAAGACGUGGAGGAUGGCCAUGGUGAAAAGCACUCAUCGCGGUCACGGGAUUGCAUCGGUCUAGUUCCCAUGCUUCGUGUAAGUCCUGUCAUUGUUAGUAGAAAACAAGAAACAAAUCACAGUAAUAUGUUCCUAUCAACUAAUAGGAUGUGGCUACAAGUCGUUCAACUCUCAAGCUAAAAAUCAAGUUCUUACAAGUUCUUACCAUGCAACAAGAAGGUGAUGGCCAGCGGCUUGACCAAGCCCCUCCGAGGAUUAAAUGUAUCAAUGCCUCGGUAACAAACCAACCUAGGUGUAGAAUCUGUGUAGCUUGGAAGCUUUUGUGAGUAGCAAGGAAUAGCAAAUAAUCAAACAGCAAUGCAAAGUUGAAAAUAUGCUAAAUAAUGCUAGUCCUAACUGCUGGAGUCGAUAAUAACGAAUUACAGAAAUAAUCUAAGCCUAGAUAGUGAAGAAGGUAGGAUAGAAAGAUCAAAAUAAAGGUAAAACAACUAAAUCUCUAGGAUUUUUCUUUUCUUUUAUUUAUUUAUUUAUUUAUUUUUGUGGCCUUCUGUUUGGCUUCUUAUUCUUUUCUUCUUUUUUUAUUUUUUUAAUCCCAGAAACUCAUGCAAAAGAAGUAAAGACCGGAAAACUGCACGUCGGUCUGUCGAAGAACAGCAAAGGGUGCUGUAAGAAAAUGUCAGAAAAAUAUGGAAAAAUAUAGGUUAGGAGCGUAUCGAAACAAGCUUUCCAGGAAGUGCAAGAUCACUCAAAUCGGAGGCCGGACGAUGGAGAUAACGUAAAAACACCGGCCUGCAGCGAUGCCGGAAACCGGAUGCAGAAACUUGGAAGCUCUGAAAGUCCACCUUACAAACCGAGUUUGAGGGUCAAGGAGUCAGUGCGAUGCCCUGGAUAUUUUCUCGUGCGCUUCGUCAUGAGCUUUCCAGAAAGUACUAGAAGGUCCAAAUCUGAGUUGGUGACCGUUUUACUGAACACGGGUCAAACCCACUCGAAACUAUAAUUCUCCUGAACGUGGAUCUGAAACUGAUUCUUUUUCUCUCUCUUUUUUUUCAUUUUUUUUCCUUUUUUUUCCUUCCUUUUCUUUGCUUUUUUUUCACAACUUUCCGAACAACUUGAUCUCUAAACAAAAUUCGAUCUAUUAUGAAACACUUUCCAAAAGCACUCUCGAUUGGACUCGGACUCGAACCCGGAGAAGGACUCGGUGUAUGACUCGAUGGAAGAUUAUGGCGUGGCGGUGGUGUGGCAGGGAGUUUGGCGGCAGAAAAUUGAGGAAGGAAACCUGCGUCACACGAAGAACAAGAAAACCAAAAGCAAGUUCGAUCUAGUAGAAAAAGUCUGAAAAACGAUCCAAUCUAAUCCAGCAACUCGACACGAUUAAUGCAGCAAAGGUUCAACAAUGCAAAUACUAAUGUGAAAAUUGCAAGGCUCAGAUUGGUUUUUGGGACGAAGGUAAGUAAUCUCUACUUUUUUAUUGUCUUUUUCUGGACUAUAGGUAAAACAUAUCUAAACUAUGGAAAAAUACCACGUGAUGUGGGUCGGGGUGGCCCGAUAUUUCGAUGAGAUUGAUAACUCUCGAUUUGGGUAGGAGGUGACGUUGACGAUCCGACUACGGCCUUGAAAGCAGCGUCUUAGCAAUCGAUACACCAACUCCAGAGGGUUAUUGAUCACGCGGGGGCACGAUCAACCUGACCACAAAGGUCUUUGUUCCUACAAGCAAACGAAGAACAAGCAAGAACAAGAUAAAUAUCGGAUGCAAUCUGAAAUUGCGAAUAUACUAUAUCAAACCAAUGUCUCAACGAGACGAUAAGUUGGGGUUCCGAAAGCGGUAAAGCAGGUGGUCUAGCCGACACACGCGAUUACACGAAGUUGUAGCGAUGGCUAACUUUUAACUAAACAAACCCAAGUCUUCAUAGGGGGGCUAGUGGGGUAUAUAAAGGAGGAGGGAGAGAGAUUUUCGUCCACCUUGAGUAAGGAGGCCGAAAUCCAACUGUAUCUCUAACUUUCCUAACAAACUACAACUCUUUAGGAAACGGAAAAACAGAUCCGUCAGCUUGUUUUGUCCGCCACGGCCAGCACGCGUCGAAUCUCUUGUGGGGCCAGAUCUUUUGGAAAGUUCUUGUAAUUACCUUUCCAACAAGUACUUGUUUGCUUGAUUUGAACUCCGAAUGCGGCCUGGGUUAUUAAAACAAAUUCGGGUCUCCUGACAGCUCGGACCCGAAUCGGAUUCAACUUUAAUUCGUGAUAUCUUUCUCUAGCAAGGUCCGAAUCAUGUGCUGUUCGAUUUGUUGGAAAGUAGACUUGAUAGGCUUCACCUUGCAUCUCCCGUUGCAUGCUAUCGCACCUCAUCUUCACUUUGGACUGGAAAAGCUCGAUCAAAUACUUACAUAAUAAAAUGAUACAAGAUAGUAGCUUUGCCUCUUCAUGCAUAUGACAUUGGAAACAAAUAGUACUUGACUUCACCUGAUUAUAAAUAUUAUCGAAUACUCUAGAAUUGAGGGUGCCAAAGGUCGUAUCCAUGGUUAGCAUGUACAUACCAGGCUUGCAGUACGAUGCCCGGAGCUGGGGGAGAUGGCGCUGCACAUGUCGUAUCUGAAGGAGGCGGCGAUUGAGGUGAAGAAGACGGUGGGGGAUGAGACGGUGACAGAUGGGGAAGAGAGGUAGAUGAGGGCGAUGAAGGGAAUAUGCCCUAGAGGCAAUAAUAUUGUAUUAUUAUAUUCCCAAGUUUGUAAUUGAUGUUUAUAUUUCUAUGCUAUAAUUGCAAUGGUUCUUGAACGUGAGAUUCGGAGGAAAACUCAUUUGCAUGUGUGGAAACAUAAACCCUAAUUUAAAGGUCCCUAGUCACGCCUCUUUGACUAGCUUAUAUAUAAUUGAUGAUUCUGUUUUCCUGAUCAUGAGCAUACGAUGCUGGUUAUAUAUGAGAGCACAUUGUUGGUUGAACAAUGGUGUUGGAUUGACCCAACUAAUGAUAUACCGAGAGAUCACAUCGAUUACUUGUUAUCGGUAUUAUUGUUAUUGUUGUAAUUAUCAUUAUCCUUAGACCAUGAAAAUAUCGUAUGAUAUUUAUAUCGGAAGGAUAAUUUGGGUGUUACUUAUUGUUUCCCGUAAUAGGGUUAUCAUGACGGUGAUUUCCGGGUACUCCGGAAAGUACGAAUUGAUUCGAUAGUUCAAGAUUGGGAUUUGCUCCUCUAUCGGUGGAGAGAUACACUAGGGCCCACUCGGUACGAAGAUAUCUAUCACCGUCUGGCCAGACACAAGAAUGAUAUGAUCAUUGAGAUAUCGGAGUACGGAAUGAGUUAAAAGUACAAAACCGGUAACGGGGAUAGCUAGGUACAAGUGGAACAAGGGUUGGUUCACGGGCGUACCGGAAGUCUCACCCCGGGUUUUGUAAACGUAUCGUGAAGCAAAGGGAAAUGGUUUUUAGUAACAAAUGGUUCACUUGAAAGUCUUCGUGUAUGUGUAGUAAUUAUUGAGAGUGUCCAGGCUCUUUAAAUAAUUAUUGACUGGGUCAUAGCUACACAUUUCCCAACCUAGGCGGUCAGACGCUUAACGACGAAUGGUUAUUUGAAGGUCUAAAGUUUGGAAUUUGGUCAAGAGUUGAAUACUGAAGUUGUUCAGAAUGACGAGACAUAUUUUAUGGAGGUCCUAAAUGUGAUUUAGGAGUUACAGAAAUAUUCGGAGUAAUCAUGAGUGCUUCCGGAAGGUUUUAGAAGCCUCUAGAAGGAUCCGAUGGAAAUUCCGGAAGGUCAAAUGGCAAAAGGUCAAAAGUCAAAGGUGGGUCAAACCCUGGUCAAAGGUUGACCAUGGGGGCCAGCCAUCUUGGUUUGGAGAAGGGGUUAUAAGACUCCUAUUAGGAGUUCAUAUCUAUUCCUAUUAGAGGUAGGCGUGCUACUCUUUUUGGAGGAGGACUCUUUUCGUCCUUUGGCCGGACGCCCUCCUAUAUAAGGAGGGGAGGGGUGGCCGGUUAUAGGGGCACUCUCGCUAGUUGUCCUUUGCCCGUCAAGUUCGAGCUCUCUCAUCUAAAGUUUAGACGUCUAAUUAGUAAAUCGUCUACUUUCCGAUCUAGUUUCUUCCAGCGGUUCUUCGUACUGGACGUGAAAGUGCUGCUGAACUAUUCCUCCGGGACGUGUGGAUACGUGUGGAGAGAUCGCCCACUUCGAUCUUGCAGGCGGAUCGCUGUUCGUCUACUUCAAGCUUUCAGGCGCAGCAGAUCGUGCGAGGAAUAUUCUCACGGCUGGGCGGUAUAACCUAACUGCGGGAAUCUGCUACAGGCUUCAACGACAAUCUAUUUCCGCUAUGGUUUUUUGGUAGAUGAUCAAUCUAUCGCAUCCGCAUAGUGAUCUUGAUUGGUUCGUUCGUAGGAAAAUUUUAAUUUUCUGCCUACGUUCCCUUUCAGGCGAAUGGAGGCGGUGGAGGGACCCGAGACGUGGGGUGGGCGGCCUGCUGUGCGUAUUUUAUUUAUUUUCUUUACUACUACUACUACUUAAGCCACAGUUAUGUCCGUGGUUUACCGUAAGUCCUCCCACCCCCCACAGAAAAAAAAGUCCUGAAAAAAUCCGGUCCCCCCACCCCUUCUGAGGAAACAUUCGCCCAGAAGGAAAUAUUCAAUCAACCAUCAAUUGAUUGAGUUCAAAAGAUGACCCAACGCAUUAGGCAACUCUUGGAGAGAUUUCAGGAGAGUAUGGAAAGAUUGUUAGGAGUUGGCCGAGUUGUGGGAGUGAUUUCAGGAAAGGACAUCUUGGUUAGUUGCACGUAUAGCGUGAGUUUAGGGGCUAACGGUCUGAGAUUGGCUGUUAUUUAUGGCAUGCUUUGUAAUCUUGUUUUUGGAAACAGAAAGAGGAAUAGGAAAGGAGAAAAUCUCGGGCUGUGAGAGGCAGCCUCGAGGCCCAAACCUUGCCUUCCUUAUGUUCGUGGUGUUGCCAAGAAAAGAGAUAUCGUGAGAGAGGGAGCUGCAGCGACAGAGAAGAAGAACUGGAGUUGCAGAUUCCUGCCGCGGCAGGAAAUAUUCUGCCGCGGAAGAAAAUCUGCAGGCUGGAGCUGCGUGAGGUAGACGGGGAAGAAGAAGGGGAGCAGCAGCGGCUAGCUGCUCCAACAUAGCCUUAUCAGUUGCCGGGUAUUAACUGGACAAUUCCUAAUCAUGCUUCAUGAAACGGUGCUAAAACAUUGUCCUGUGUCGCAAGUCCCAACAAUCCUAAUGGAUUUCAUUCUGCCGAGUCAUUAAAGGUCUGUGCUUGUUACUCCUAAUUCUGAUCAUAGUUAUUGUAACGUGCUUCUAUCUAGAAGCCGAUGUACACCUAUCAUGUUUGUCAGUUAUAACUUUGUAUGCUUUAAGAAGAUCUAUUUUGUACUUUGGGCUAGGUAUUUUCUACUUCGUAUGCUUCAAGGAAGGUAACUGACUGAGAUGAGAUGCAUAGUUGUUGCCAGAGAGAAGGGACGUUAGCACGUGGCAAACGUGGUUAGCAAUAAAAAUGCAAUCAGAGAGAAGGGAAGUUGGAGAAUGAAACAAAUAUUUAUUGUGAUAGGUUAAAAGUUAUACACAAUUAGUGUACAUAUUUAUUUUUAUUUAUUUAUUAUUUUUCGUUGCAACGCACGGGUACUUUGGCUAGUAUAUUUAUUUGGAGAACAUCCGUAUUUUAUUUGGUGGGCGAUGGAACAAGACAGACAUGUACCAUGCCUUCUUGGUUUUGAGUUGGUCCAGAAACAUCUCACAAAUGGUCCAACAACCCAACACAAAUGACCUAGUAUUACUCACUGUUCUAUACCAAUAGUGGGCCAAAAAGCGGAAAUUCCAUUUGGGUCCUGGGACCCCCUCCCUAUCUCCAUCAUUCCGCCGAUGUUUGAUGUUUGCUUUUAGACCCUGUUUGUUUGGGCCCUGAUGGUCGCCCUUUGCGUAUUUGUGAAAUCAUAGGUGAUGUGUAACAUUGGUAAGUAUUUUAGAUGAAACAUUGAUGUGGAUACUUUGGCUAAUAUGGAUUGACGAAGAUGUAACUUCGACAAUGUCCAUAUUGAUGGACUUGUAUCAAGGAAAGAGGAGUGUGUGUUGGCGAACUCGUCGGCUAACAAGGACACAGGGGACACGAUUUACCCAGGUUCAGAGCCCUCGAUGAGGUAAUACCCCUACGUCCUGCUUGUCGGAUCUGUAUUGAUGAGUCGAUUACAAUAGGGUGCCGCAGAGUCUAGACGCACCGAGUCGUCGAGUGCGUCCAGGCGACUUGUAUCUAAGCUCGGGGGGUGUCCUCUUGGCUCCCCCUCCUGGUCCUUUAUAUAUGCAGGAACUCACAUCCGAGGUAGAGUCCAAGUAGGUUACAAUGAAAAGACAUACUCUAAUUAUUCUUCCUUAUCUUGAGUCGCAAGAUUUGGCAUGUAAACUCCUGGAGUCGAAGUAGGCUUCCUUGUGGGCCCCUAGCUGGGCUGUAUCGGGUAUACUCGAGUCGAGUACGUGGUUAGUCAUAACCACGUCAUGGAUACUUAUGUGAUGACAUGUAUCUUGUUUGGACUUAGUGGUUUGCUAUUGGUGUGUUGAUCCAUUAGUUUCUUAUGUAAAAACAUGGCGUGAGUUGUGUUGAAACUUACCUUGAGUGAAGUCGUGGACUUGUGCUCGUACUGGUUAUUUGUGUGUUCACUUUCAGGUGUUGCCGGAGCUAGAAGAACAUGGUCGGUGAUGGGAUCGAGGGACGAAGCUUGGGAGAAGCUGAGGUCAAGGGAUCAAAGUCAUGCGAGACGUUCAUGUGAAGGAACAAUGGAAGUGAAAUAUACGAUGAUUCGGGAGGGCACCGGUUUGUCGUAUGUUGUUUAUACCGGAGAUGUAUGGUAUUGUAGAUAUUUGACACGUGAUGGUCGAGUUUUGAAGACAUCACAAGAAGAGUCAAGGAGUCCAAACAAGACCAGAUGUUCCCUAUUGUUAUCGGGAACGAGACUAAAUGUUCGGCCUUAAUGAGAUGGACCUUGAUUCCUCUCCGGCCAGGAAAAGAUGCGGCUCCUCUUUGUUUUGUUCUACUACCUUCAUCCUCGGGUGAAGCCGGUUGGCUCACCAAACAAGAGGCCUACUGUUAAAUCAUUGGUAACCAUGCCUAACGGUCGGUCCUCUAAGCUAUCGGCCAAGGCAAGUGAGAGCUGUUCAAGAGUUGGGGGCAUAUCUUUAGCUCGAGUAGCAUUCGCUCCCAAAAUGUGUGGCAUCGACGUGAAGACAUGUAGGUCCAGCCGUGGCUGGAUGAGAGCUGUUUAAAGACUAAACAAUAGUGUCAUGAAUAUGGCGUCCGAUGGAAAAGUGGUCCAUAUGGAAGUUGUGCGCGUCGUGACGCUGUGUGAAUGCUUUCUUUUGGCCUACGGGCUCCUACCUCCACAUCGCGUGCUUCGUGACGCUGUGUGAAUGCUUUCUUGGAAUAAAUCCCCAUAUGGGUCUUUGGAAGAGAAUGUUCACCAUCAAGCGCCAAGGCAAGGAUGCGAUUGGAUGGGUGAAUAUUCAAACUCAUGCGGAUGCCAAAUUCUUCAACCUCCGAGAGAGGGCAUCAUCUUCUCGAUGGAAAUCGAGGUGGUUCUUUGUCAUGGAUGUGCCGGCCGAAGGACGCGACUUCAGUCUUCCCGAAUUCUCCGUGACCACGUCGGUGAAGAAGACGAUGGCCUGGAGUCAUAAAUUGGGAGGAACAGAGGGUGAAGAAGCCGAGACUCUAUUGGCCCGAGUUCUGUCUCUCAUGGAGACUCCUCAGUUGAAGGUGACUAGAAUUCACCUCAUUGCCGCUUUUAUCCGGAGAAGAAUUCAGCCUCUGCAGGCUCGUGCUCAUCCCAUGUGGGCAUAUCGGGGGGGUUCAUGACUCGACCCGAUUUAGUACCGAGGAAUUUCGUUCGACUGAAGUGUGUCGACGAGUUCGGCGACUUACUAACUUGGACGAGUCGGAGCCCUGCGAGAUUGACCCUCCAGUGGCUCCCUAUGGGCCUGACAGGUCCCUAGAAAAGAUGACCACCGAAGCGUCUGACAAGCCCUGCUGUUUUUUGGCAUGAAUUAUUUCUGAUCAUGGUUUUGAUUUUAGGGACCCGAUAAUGAUCUAAGCGGCGCUUCCCCACCGGCAAAGAAGCGCGGCAGAGGAAAAUGACUUGUCGGUACAGACCCAAAUGAUAAGCUUGAGGGACCCGAACGUCGGGCCGUCAGUGUCUGUACCUGCGCUCAAGAGAACCAAGUCCGACGGGCCAAUCGCGACUCUCGCUUUGGUCUUUUUGCAUGACUCAACCGUGCCAGGUGAAUCUUUUAGCCAUCUUACUUCAGUAUCCUAGAGAUUUUGACUGAACCUCUAAAAACUUCUUGAUUAGCCAUACUAGUGGCUCAGUUGAGAGCAAAAAGGCUCCCUGGACUCAAUCGACUGGUCAGGACUUGAAAGGGUCGGACCAGCCGACUAAACAAAAGACAGCCCAUACCAAGGAGGCUUCGGCGGCUAAUCCGAGCAGAGGAAGUCGACCAGAUGAGUCGAGCGUUCCUCAGGCGACGGUUCCUGCGUCGAGUCGACACGUGAGCAAAUUUGUCAUUUGCUAUUACCUGCCUCCCGGUGGGAGUGACACUCAAGAAAUGACUUGAGAUUGCUUUUUUGUUUGUAGCCAAUCAUCCGCUCCAUGGCAACUCUUAUUGAAGAGUUUGAGGAGACGAAAGCAGAUCGGGAGCGACUUCGAGAAGAGCUGAGUCAAUGAAGCGAUCCUCCCCCUUACAAGGGUUCGAUCUCUGUGCUUACCGUGCUAGUCCCUGGAUCGACUCACUAGCACACACAGUUUCAUGAUGAAAUAUACAGAAACAAAGGUCAAAAGUACUUUAUUACAUCGCAUCAUUCAGAAUUUAAAUAGUACUUACAACCUCGCAUGACCUCUUGGCCAGCAUAAAACAAAUACUGUUUCAUCAUCAUAAAACAAUGUUUCAAAACUGCAGCGGAAAAGGGUAGAACAAAAGGGCCUCAACUACUCCAAGGUGAGAGCAUGUUGGAAUGUAAGCACAUGACCCAUGACAAAACGACGAACCUCACUCAUCGUCGGAUCCACCUGCAUUGUAAUUGCAGCCACUACGUGGUCAAUACAUUUGAAUGUAUUGGCAAGUUCACCAGAGUUAUAAAGGACCUACCAAGUAUAUGCAUAAUUUGGCUAGGUGGAGUUUGGCUGUUUGCAUAAAAGCAUCAUAGUUCAAUCCUAUCAUUUUUAAACAAUUAGUUUUGAAUUCUAUUGGACACGGGAUAGAAACACCCAUGCUCCUAUUAACCUAGGCACAUUGAGUAGAAACAUCAAUGCUCCUACCCAGUUCAAACCAUUCUUUUUAUUAGGAAAUUGGAAUGAGUGAGACCUUUCUUACAGCCCCAAUAUCUAGUUGCUCAUAAUUGUCCGUAACCGGGGACACGGCUAAGUACUUAGUUUGACACUCUCGAGAGGUUGUACACAUUCCCCACAAGAAAUCGACGUGUUAAUCCCUUGCUGUCCUCAGGGUAGAGUAGCAACGGCAUCGACUACAGGAUUUUUCAGAACAUAAUCUCCCAGACCACCUGAUGGACGCGCCCCCACCUACACUGCUACAUACCGAUGUCACCUCGGAUCCGGGUUCAUAUUUCUUACAUCCAUCCUGGCAGAGCCCAUAAUACCAUGUGGUUGUACUGGAAUCUACUAAACAAGAAACUAGUCCAGUCUCUGGUUACCCCGGGUGGCAUUCCUCAGUUGCAACGCAGGCGCUCCCAUAGAAAUGGUGAGACGACUCAUAGAAAUGGACCCAUAGAAAUGGACCUGACGUCGCAUACAUCUCCACUUCCUCAAAGCAGCCCACCCAGGACGGUUUAUUGAAUUACUUGUUUUGCCGUACACUAGGAAAACCAUAUUGUAAUUCAAUAGUAUCACAUUGUAAUAAUACCACCCUCGUAUAUUAUCAUAUCCUAGCAUUUUACUACCACGAUGGCAAUUGGUGGUGGGAACAUGGCAAAGGUAUUCUACACUAUUAGGAGAAUCAUAGCAUAGCAUAGAUACAAUAAUAAUCCUAACAAUGCAACUAAUAAAAUCUAGUGCAUAAUAAAGUAAUACGUGAAUGAUCAAAGUGAACUUGCCUUGAUAGUAGUUGGUAUUCAAACACUCUUCGCAAUCACACAGUUCGUUCUCCAAGAAAACUAAUCAAAUACAAACAUUGCAUACAUAAGCACACAAUACAAUCAAGAGUAAAAAAGUAUGCCAUGAUGCAAUGUAAAACAUGUGACAUGAGCUUGGUUUAUUUUAUUUGAGUGAUCUACUGAUCCUAAGCAUAAGUAAUUAAAACAAAUGCAUUAGCGUUUUAAAUAGAAAGGCAAAGGCUAGGGUUUAAACCCUGAAAUAAGGUUUUAUUUGCGUCUGCAAAGAAAUUUAAUUCAAAAUAUUUAUUUCUCUGUCUUUAUGGACAGAGGAUAAUAAAAUAAAAUUUUGGGCACUGGUUUCAUUCAAAAAGGACUUCUAAAUAAUUAGUUAUGAUUUAAAUAGUAUUAUACCUUAUUCUGUAAUUUGAAUGUGAUUCAAAUUUUCAAAUUUAAAAAUGGACAGUGCCAAAAGAUUCUACACUUCCUAAGGAUUUCAAAAAGGUGUGGAUCAUCAAAUUUGGCCAAACAGAUUAAAAGAUAUGAUCAUUUGAAGUUAGAGGGGCUUUUCUGCAAAAGUGCCAUUUCUAAUUAUUCCGGGAAUUAAAAUUAGAUUUUCGUUUUAUAAAAUAGGUGCCACAUGUCACGUUCUCAUUGGUGCGUACCGGUUCGGUUAAAAAUAAACACGGGAUCUAAUCCUAGCCCUCGGAUCUGGAUCGGACGGACGGGGCGGGCUAGGGUUUACCUCCGUGGCGGCGGCGGUCGCCGGAGACGAGGGAGACGGCGGCGCGGGCACGGGCGGGCGGCUCCUCCGGUGAAGUUGACGGCGCGGGGAGGUGCUGGGUCGACACGGCGCGGUACGGCGAAGUCGGGGGCGAGGUCGGCGCUCCUCGGGGUCGUCGGGGUGCUCGCCUAGGAUGGCGCGGAGACAGCGGCGAGCGGCGGACGGCUCCGGAUCUUCGGCUUGACGACGGCGAGGCGCUGCGGCGCGCAAAAAGGAGAAACGGACGCAUCAAAAGAUGCGCAAGGACGAAGGAAAGCGAACGGCUAGAAAUGGGCAGAGUUUUGACCUUAGGGUUCACCGGCGGCGACCAAAACGUGCGGCGGCGAGCGACGAGCUCCGGCGAGCGAUUCCGGCGGAGUGGGCGCGUGAGAGAGAGGGGAACGAAGGGGGAAGAAGAGAGGGGGGCGGGGGGCAGAGCUUUAUGUUGACGCGCUCGGGGCUGCGAAAUAUGGACGGAGCGCAGAGAUCUCGGCGGAGACGGCACGCGGUGGCGAAGAAGGAAAGCGGCGGUGGACGCGGGCGCUUUCCAUCGGGAACGAAGACCCUGACGCGUGGGUCCCACGCGUCAGUGGCAGCGGGCACGCGCGCGUGCGGCGGGGCCAGUCUGGCUCGGUCGGGCGCGGUCGGAGGGGGCUGGUCCGGCCCAUUUUGGCGGGGCCGGUCCGGUUUUCUCUUUAUUUUUCUUUUAGCCCUUUUGUUUUUUCUGUUUUUCCUAUUUCUUUGAUAUCUUUUGAUUUUUACUCCAAAUUGGUCCAAAUAAAUUCUAGAAAAUUUCUAAAAUCAUGUUCUAUCAUGAUUCAACUUUUGGGAGUAAUUUCCCUUCAAAAUAAAAUACCUAAAAAUACAUUUUCCCUAUAAAUGCCUUUAGGGCUAUAUAACUAUUUAAAUAAAAUAGUUUUUCAACUCCAAAUAAUUGUCCAAAAAUUAUGGAAUAGCUCAUUUAUGCAAUAAACCCCUUUUAUAAAUAAACCUUAUUGGUUUAAAGAUUCAAAGCUCAAAUGGGUGUAAACCCUAGGGUUUAAAUUGAAAUAAAAACUUUUAAAGCCUUUUGAGAUUCAAAUUUGAAUUCAAACGUGCAAUUGUGGCAUGAUGCUUAUGAAUGCAAUGCAUAUGAAAGGAUUUGAAAUUUUGGGAUGUUACAGUCAAUGUCGCCAAGAGCUGCAGGACGUGGCCGCCGAAAAGAGUCGUCUUCAGGAACGUAUAGACUCCCGUAUUUCCGCAGAGAAAGAGCGGGAGAAGGUUUGGAUCGAGCGACUCGAAAGUGCUACUCACUCAGUUGCUGGUGAGCGCUUGAACCUGUUAUUCGAGUGGCUUUUCCUUCUCGUGGAAAAUUUUGACCGUUUCUCUGUCCUUUUGCAGGAGUCCUUGAUGCUUCCGCAUAGGUCCAAUUCAAAGAGAGAAGCCGAAGCUUCAAUGAUGUUUUAGAAAAUGUUGAAGUCAUCAAUGAUGAAGCCAAGGGCAAGCUCCGGCAAGCGACAAAGAUUCUGACCACCGUAAUCAGGAAGAUGACUCCUGAUGGGUCAGUGCCGGAGUCGCUGAAUGGGCUUAUUGAAUUUUUUGCAGCGAGUCAUGACCCGGUAGGGGAGUACUACUGAUGCUGAGCUAUUCUUUACGCUUGCUCUUGCGCAUGGCAUUGAGGAAGACGCUCUCCAUCGAGUAACCUCUCGAUCGAGAGCAGGUGACUCGGUCAACCUAGGGCCCCUUAUGGGAAAGGGCAAAGAGCUGGCUGAGAUCUCGUUGCGGCAGCCACGUAGAUCAAUUGAGGAGAUGAACCUAGCUUCAUCCAGCGGCCCAGAGGUGGGUGAUCUUUCACUAGAUAUAUUUGAUUCUCUUUCUCCUUUGUGAAUCUUCUUCUUCUGUUCUUAUACCUUUGUAAAGAACUGCUCUAGCUGAGCCCUUUUUGGAAAGAAAUCAAAAAAUCUUUAUUUCCAUCCCGAAAGGGGUUCUUCAGGAUAAAUGCUGAGGUAACUUGUGUCUUUUCCGCGCAGAGGGAAAAAGGACCAUCGAGUCACUCGAUUCCAGGUGCAGCGGCAACCUCUCGCAACGAUGCUCCAGCCGAUCCUAGCGGAAAAGGUCAGGCUGGGUCGGCUUUGUGCCCAGAGCAGUUACGAGAAAUUGAGGCUCGAUUCACUAAAUUGAAGCGUGACACGCUGGGUGACGCUCAGAGUAGCAAAUCUAGCCUGAAAGCUGCGACCAACCGGGAAGAGUUUGUCUUUGGAGAGCUUCGCAGCCUGAGCAGCCAAAUCCAAGGUAAGGAUCGCAAGACUUUGCCUUUCGAGUCGGUCUGCAAAGUGAUCUUACCGUCUUCUGUGCAGUUGUUCGCUUUGACCCUGACGAUGAAAAGGCCAAAGUGAAUACCGCCAUUCAAGCUCGCAGAGUGCAUGAUCCAUCAUCCUUUUCGCUGGAUCAGUCAAGGAGCUACGACUUGAUGCUGUUGAUCGAGCGGAUCAAGCAGGUCAAAAGGUACUUGACCUCCUGCCGUGACAUGCUAGCUUCGACACAUCUGGCCUUAUGGCCACAGGAGAAGGUGCCUCGUAAACCGGGCAGCCUGAUGGUGAAGUUUCACGACGAGGAGAAGAUGAAGGAGCUGGUUCGACUCUAGCUGGUGAGGGGUGCCCAGAUUGCCCUCGCAUUUGUGCGAGUCAACUGCCCAGAGUUGGAUUUCUGGCAAAUUGCUACAUUGCCAGUUACUCUCACCCAGGGUAUAAAGUCAUUCCUGGAGGCUGGGCAGGCGGCGGCGCUGUAGAUGAUCCAGCAAUGGGAGGCAGCUGAGGAGGAGACCCUGCCUGUCGUAGGUAGUCAUGUAGUUUUUUUCCUCUCUUUUUUUGUAACGACUAGUCUACCGGGUGCGCGAUCAGCGCUCCCGGUGGGAGUAGCCCCCGAGUGCGGUUGCAACUGUGUGUAGUGGCGACCGGACUCAAGGUUGUAAUGUGAUAUCCUUGAGCAAUGUUGCACCCCUUCUUUUUUUGGAAUGGAGCGCCCUGACUUGCCAAUUAGCGCCGAGUCGAAUUCCGACUUGUGGAAGUCGAAUUUGAGUCGGAUUUGAAGUACUCCUGGUGGGAGUGCCUCGCAGUCGAAUAUAAAUAGCCGAGUGCAGACUCGAACGUACUAGCCAGCGCAAGGGAUUUGUCCUGCUGAUUAGCACUUGGGCCUUGGAAGAAGAUAUGGAUUCCUCCGAUGCACUCGAGGUUAUGCAUAUCCGUUUGGGACAUGUGAGGAAUACCACCUCGCGCAGGCAUGGGAGGAGAUUUCCUUGCUCAAGUCGGAGAAUCGGGCCGCAUCGGGUCGAGAGGAUUUAAUUUCCUCAGGGAAAAUGUGAAGGUUGAAGCUGAAUGUGUAAAGAGUCGUCUUGAUGCUUUAGCACGAUCUGGUUCGGAGAACCCAUCCUUCUAGUCAAAACCGCGACAAGGGUUAUGCCCUUGCGCUUCUGCAAGAUCGAGUUGCAAGAGCAGUGAUCUGCCUGAAGUCCUGCAGUCACUGUUUGACAGAGGUUCACCAUAACUUGUUUCCGGAGCUUCGUGUCCCUGUUGACCUGAAGGGAUUAAUCGAGAGAUUUUGUGAAGGAGCAGUAGUGAGGGGGGCUACUCAUGAACAAUUGGUGGAGGGUGUUGUGCUGGCUCUCUCGUUUGUUCGUUUUCGCUACCCCUCAUUGAAUCUGGACUCCCUGCAUUUGACUCCCUCUUACAUUCCAGACGAUGCUCAGCUUGGACCGAUUUACGACAUGAUGGAGAACACGACAUGUCAGCUGGUGACUCUUAUGGCCUUGGAGUAGAGUAGGCUUUGAUACUCGUUUAAAUAUGUAGGCGUAGUUGUCUGAGUAGUAUUUUUACCGGGUGCGCGACCAGCGCUCCCGGUGGGAGUAGCCCUCGGGUCUGUGCAUGACUGGUUUGCAGUCAUGUGGAGACCCAAAUACUUUGAAAUCUUUUGUAAUUGAAAACUGUUAGCAUCGUUGAAGAUGCCGCACCUUCUUGUUCUGUACUUCCAUUGAUCUUGUAUGAGAAAACAUUAUGAUUCCAAUUUUGCUUGCUUGGAAACUGCCGACCAUUGAAUGAUUGUGCUGAUGUUUGUUUACGCGAUAGCCCGUGAAUGCCGGCUGCAUACAACGAGAGUUUUUUAAAGUCGAUUGAACGCAGCCUCCGAGCGUGGGGUGCGACCAAUGACAAUGUCUGCGGUCGACGGGACACAGCCCCCGAGUGUCGAGUGUGUCCAAUGAUAAGUUUGGGUCGAUUGGACGCAGCCCCCGAGUGUCGGGUGCGUCCAAUGACAGUUUAGGUCGAUUGGACGCAGUCCCCGAGUGUCGGGUACGUCCAAUGACAAGUUUGGGUCGAUUGGACGUGUAACAUACCGGUUCUCGGCAUUUCCAAAAUCUAUUUCCUAAAAAUGACUACUUGAAAAUUUCGCUGAAUUAAACAAAGCUUAACUGGAAAUUUCUUGAAUCUUUGGUUCUAAAUUGAAUUUACACCGACUAAAUAUGAAUUUGAUUUAUACACUUUCUCAUUUGGUUUGCUUAUAUUUUAUUUGGAUUCUCCAUGUUCAAAUAUGCACUUUUAAAUCUCUCUGGAAUUCAUCUCGAAGUUGAUUUGAUGUUUGAGAAGUUCAUUCGAUCUCUUAGCUUCUGUAAAAAUAAAAAAGCAUUUCCUCUUUCUUUUUAGCUUUGGCUGAAAUCCCCAGCCGCAACCCAUCUUCCUUCUCUCUCCCGUAGCCCACUUCUGGCCGAACUGCUCCAGACUACCGUGCCUUGCUUCUAUUUUCUCCCGCGUGUGUUUAAUCUCCAGAGGACGAAGGAGAACUGCCAUCUCCUCGACGCCAGUGUAACUCGAGCUACCUAGAACGAUCGUAUUCAGAGGGAGCUCACGCGAGGAAGACAAGAGUUUUUGCGCUGCUCAAACUUCCGCAGCUUUUCUGGCAUUUUUCAUUCCCCUUUUUAUUCAGACGUUACAUGCAAAACAGAAAAUGGGGAGAGCAAGCCGCGCCAUGAUCCGCUGAUCCCGCGCCAUCCCACGGCCGAGUCAUGGCGCACAUCCCGCUCCUCCACAACGGCCACACUAUAGGCACGCCCAUGCAAACGUACGCAGACAUGCUGGGACGUGUUAUGCUAACAGAAAACAAACUAACAACUGAAAGCAAAGAUGUUUAACAUGCACGAGUUUACUAACAAAACACUCCCUAAACUCGUGCACCUACUUUAUUUGGAUCAUACCAAUCUUCGAGCGCAAUUCCUGGAAUCUGACGCGGCCAAGGGACUUGGUCAGGAUAUCAGAGAGCUGCGCCUCAGUUCGGAUGAACUCCACUUCAGCCUGGCCUUUCUCAACGCACUCCCGUAUGAAGUGAAAUCGAGUGUCGAUGUGUUUGCUCCUGUCGUGGAACACAGUAUUCCGGCUGAGAGAGAUCGCCGACUUGUUGUCGACGAACAACUUGAUGCAGGCCGCCUCUUCCUUCUUCAGUUCACCGAAAAGACGAGCUAGCCACACUCCCUGAGAGACAGCAGUGGUCACCGCAAUGUAUUCGGCUUCACAAGAUGAGAGCGCCACCACCUUCUGCUUGGUUGACUGCCAGGUAAUCGGACUUGUUCCGAGGAAGAAGAGGACGCCGUGGUGCUUUUGCGGUCGUCUAUGUCGCCAGCCAAGUUGCUGUCGCUGUAACCGACAAGGUUGGCGUCGCCGUUUGCUCCUCGUGCAAACUUGCAGCCAUAGUUCAGGGUCC
rnacentral:lncRNA from 1 species